AGUGGCGCAUGCAAUUCCCCACGUACCAAAUUCGGCUGUAAACAUGAUGAGGCAGCAGCCAACUAUUGGAGUGAUACUAGUCCUGCAGCUUCUGACGCUAAUUUCUGCGUUUGGACUACCAGUCAACCACCAACUAGUAGUGUCUCCAAGCGGUGCCACUUUCGCAGGCAGAAAAUGUGUCUUCUCUAAAGGAGGUGGUACUGGUGGACUCUUUGGAGGCGGUGGUGGCCUAGGAGGCGGUGGUGGCCUAGGAGGCUUAGGAGGCGGUGGUGGCCUAGGAGGCUUAGGAGGCGGCGGUGGCCUAGGAGGCUUAGGAGGCGGUGGCGGUGGAAGCUUUGGGAGUAACGGCGGAGAAAGUGGGGGCAGCGGAAAUGGCGGUGGUGAAAGUGCUGGCGGGGGUAAUGGAAGCGGUAACGGUGGUGGUGGUGGGGGCGGUGGAAGCAGCAAGGGUGGGGGCGGGUGGGCUGCAGCGGUGGUGGUAAUAAUGGCGGUGGGUAUGGAGGAGGAGGCAACAAUGGCGAUGGAAGUUCUGGAUCGGGAUAUGGAUAUGGAUACGGUGGUGGUGGUGGUGGUCGAUCGAGAUAGAGGAGGCAUUUGGAAUGGGGAAGGAUAUGAAGUAAGUUUAUGAAAUGAACGAGAGAUCGAGCUACUUACUAGAUGAUAUGAAUCUAUAAAUGUGACUGUGGGAGGGCAAGAUAAAAUGAGUACGUGCGUGAGUAAUAAUACAAUGUCCCGCAAUAAAAGAAAUUUGAGUGUUCAUGAUGAUGAAGUUAGGUUAGUUGGCACCUAAUAAUAAUACAUAUAAAAAAUUGUUUGCCGAAACAAAAUAUGGAAUUAGAAUAUGAGCCUGCCGAAUUUUAAAUAAAAUCGGGUAAUUUGUCCCUUUUGCGUUUUACCAAGCUCACAAACAAGGCAGUCUAUUAAGCAAUGCUUAUUUUACUAGCUCAUACUUUGACCAACUUCACAAUUGCGUACUCAACCCCUCGCUUAAUCUUCCUACCAAGCAGAGCCACAUCAUCAAUUCAGGCCACAUGGCCGUCGAGAAAUAUCAUAUUUUUAUCUGGUUACUUUUUUUUUUGAAAUAAAGGUAUUUCGUUAACUUAGUGAUCCAUCAAUGGACAAAAAGAGUUCAUAAGAAUCAAACACAUAUCAGGAGACGUCACUCCGUAAACGGGUGACGCAAGCGAAUACGAUAUACGAGCAAGCUCGUGAGCGAUUUCAUUCCUACAUUUCUUAACCCACUCGGCCUUGAAUAAAGCGUUAUUACUAAGGACAUGUCGACACUUCUGAAUAACUUGGCCGAACCGUGUGAUCAACAUUGUUGUGCUAUAGCGCCAUGUUGACCCAUUGACAAUCAGUUUCAGUAAUAGCUUUCUCAUAUCCCAUGCUUGUCAACCACUCGAGUCCCUCCCUCACUGCUCUCGCCCCCUCCUCACCCACCGACGCCAAUCCUGCUGCCUUGCUCAUAUAGUAGUGAAGUACAACACCCUUCUCAUCCCGAACAACCAUUCCAACCCCAUGGCUCACCUCCUGAGGGAACACUGCUAUAUCGAUAUUUCACUUUACGUACUCCGGAGGUUGAACAUGCCACCUCACACACCUGGUGGGUUGUUGUUGACUUCGACUCUUCACAGGCUUUUGAUAGCUCAACCAUUCUUGUAAGCCGUCCAUAGCAUGCCCUACGAUUGACUCUGGUGUGCUCGCUGUGCCACUCCAAACUCUCUCGUUUCGCUCCCGCCACACCGCCCAUAUCAUUGCCAUCGUCCUCUGUAUCUUUUGCGUCGCAUUUGAGGAUAGCACAUUGAAAGUCCAUUCUUGAACACUAGUCAGCUCGUCCCAUAAAGAUCUAACCCACUGCCACAUGCCGCUCCUCUCCCAACCUGCUUUCCCGACUUUACAUUCAAACAAUAGAUGGUCUAUAUCUUCUCCCCAAUUCGAGCAGCAUCCACAUUGGUCUGUGAUAUUAACCGCUCUCUCCAUGAGUCUUGACCAUGUAGGGACCGCUCCACGACCUGCACGCCAUAGAAGCUGCUUCACCUUUGGAGGAAGCACCACUCGCCAUAGCUGAUUCCAUCCACCCUUGACACCCAGAUUCACAAGCACUCCCCGCUUCUCUGUUGCUUCCCAAUACGCCGAUCUCACACUGUAAAGGCCACGUUUCUCAUGUCUCCAAAUGCGAAUAUCUUCAUCAUUUCCUUCUGGAGGCAUUAUCCAUGAUAUAAUCCCUGCAUCACGAGUAAAAAAAAGCUUGAUUCACCAUCUUAUGGUUCAAGGUUAUACCCGAAAUCACUAAAUAGUUUACAGUCAAUUCACUUAGUUGCAGAUUGGGGGUUGUUUCCACAUAACAAUUACUGUUAUCCCUCAACCACGGUUCUGACCACACAUUGAUUUUCAAACCAUCAUUGAUUCUCCAUCGAACUCCCUCUCGCACAACAUCUUGGGCUGCAAACAUGCUCCUCCAAAUAUAGCUUGCUCGAUAACUGAAUUUAGCUAGCAAAAAGUCCCCUUUAGGGAAGUAUUUAGCUUUGAUCACGCGUGAUACCUGAGCAUUGGGAUCCUGCAAGAACAGCCACCCAUUCAUGCCCAACAUUGUGAGAUUGAAAUCCAACAUAUUUUGAAAUCCCAUACGCACAAUAAUUCCCACCACCUCUAUGCAAUUCCACCUUUUUCAUUCGUUUUGGUACACCACCAAAAGCUAUUUAUCAUACGUUCAAGCUCUUCUAUAAAGGUGAUGGGUAAAAGAAAGACAUUCAUACAAAAGGUAGGGAUUCCUUGCGCCACAAUUUUGAGCAGAACUUUCUUUCCGCUAGUUGUGAUAAAGCGUUGGCACCACUUCUGGAUCCUCGUCCAUAACUUCUCUCGUAAAUACCUCAACGUAUCCUUCUUCUUCCUCCCUACAAUCGACGACAGUUUGAGAUACCGGCCAGUAUCUAACGGCGCAUGCACUUCCAAAAUCGCCUCCACGUCCUCCUUCCGAUAGGGUCGACCGAUUUAGUAAAGUGGAUACCCGAUUUUGCAUAGUUUAUGACCUGCCCAGAUGUCGAUGCAUACACUUCAAACACCCUUCUUAGAGUCCACGCUUCUCGAAUCCCUGAUUUUAAAAAGAAGAAGAUGCCAUAUGCAAAUAAAAGAUGUGUAAUAUGCGGUGCUCCUCAACUCACUCGAACCCCGUACACUCGGCCAAAAUUCACUUCUCAACGAAGCAACGAUGAUAAACCUUCAGCAAACAAUAAAAACAAGAAAGGUGAUAAGGGACUCGGUUGCGAUUCAACACACAUGGUGAACUUGAGUUGAGUCCACCGCCUGUAAGCUCGUCACUUUGGGCUUCUCUUCUUACCUCUUCUUAGUUGUGGGUCGGAGUUUCUCAGGUAAACUCGGUCUAUGUGGAUGACAGCUUUAGCCCGAUCAGGGUCGCAACGACCCCUAUUUGGAAUGAUACCCCAACAGCUAUGCAAAAUUUUGAAAAACGAGUUUGCAAGUAUUGAGUAAUUCAAUUAACCCAAACUAUUUAGCGUAAUAAGUAUAGAAAAGUUGUAAAAUAAGAGGGGAGUGCUCUGAAUUGGAUAUGUUUUGAAGUAAGCACUCCCUCCCUUAGAAUGGGAAAUAUACCCGGUCAGGACCAUCUGUUUUUACCAUAAGUGAUAGGGGAAUGUCUUUUGUCGGUAGGUGUUGAGUGGUAUUAACUAUAUGCAUAAGUUUGUUCUUUAUUUGGAUUAGGAGACUCGGUAAACGUAAUUGUGUGGUUUGGUGAUCUGAAAUGUAUUCUUAGCAUUUUGAAGUUGGCUUGAACUACUAAUCGUGUUAUCUUUUGCCAUGUUUUAAAUUUUGUUUCGAGUGCGAAUAGUAGAGUCACUUGAGAACAAGCAAUGUUCAACUUCCAUGUGAUAGGUGCAUGAUAGUGCUAGGAUUUGUAGUAAUUAUCUCUCCCUAUCUGCAUACUUUUUGAGUGAAUACUAGCUCAUUUCUGUUUCAAUCCCACAUGGUUUUGCAUCUUCGAAUUGUAUGCCUAGACCAGCUUACUUAGACCGUUUCGAUCCAUUUGAUGUGUUUCUUUGUAGUAUUUGUUAUCCAUAGGUACUUUAGAGAUAGGUGGUCUGGCUAUGAGGCUAUGGAUGCGAAUAGGAGCAUGGUUGGAGUUCGAAUUGAAGAAGGAUGCGAGAAUUGGUGAAGAAGAGGGAUUGCACGUCGUACAUGCCCUAAAGUGUAAGUAGCUCUCGUAGGAAAAAGGGGUGUAGGACGUGCACCCCCUAAAUGUUCAAUUGGACUCAUAGAUAAAAGGGGUGCAUGCCAUGCGCCCCCUGUUCCGGAAAUCUCGAUAUAAAAGGGGCAAUUUGAGGAAAGAGAAAGAAAUCAUCUUCAUAAACAAAUUCCCACGAUUUUCCCCUGAGUUCUCUCUGCAAAUCAUCAUCUUAUCAUCCAUAGAAGUAAGUUGAAGAUCCGAAGGAGUUCCCAUUGAAAAUUGAAUCUAGGAUUGAAGCUAGAAGGCCAAAAGCGAAGAUUAGAGCGAGUGUUACUCGUUAUCUCCUUAACAAGAUUGUGGUUAGGUCUUUUUCUGUAUUCUCUUCAUUUGGAUUUAUGAGUAGCUAAAUCUUUAUAGUUUUUAGUUGGGAUGUAGUAGUUGAGCCAUGAUACUCUCCCUAAUAGUAUAGGGUUGGUGAUUGUUGGAUAUUUGGAAUUGAAUGAAAGAUUGCUUUGAUUGUUGGAUUUUCAACCUUGUUCUUGUUACGACUUGAGUUAGGUCAAAUCUAUGAAAUCCUAUGUUUGAUCGACACUAGAAGUUAUUGGUGGGGGUAAGCCAACAGCUCUAUUCUACCUUUCUUAUUUCUUUUGGUUUUAACGGUUGUUCAACGAGUAAUUGGUGGUCACUCUAGUUUGCACGUAAUGGACCAAGUUGGUUGUAGUUAACAAUAACUUAGGUGUUGAUGGACCAAGUUAAAACUAUUUCCAAUUGCUUGUUAUUUCCUUUAAUUCAAAGGGAGCACCUUAUCACUUUAUAGAACUUCUCGGUGUUCAUUACUAGUUAGCCUAAUUGAGGCUAUUCUAACCUUGAUUGGGAAGUUAGUAGUGGUAAUCCGUGUGCAUGAUCAUGACGUGGAUUCAUACGAGUGAUAAGAGGAGUUAUAUUAUUCAAUCCUAGUUCAAUGUUUGCACGAUCCGACUUAAGUCUCAGUUUUAAUUAUUAUAUUUAAUCUAAUUAGUAGUAGAAUUGGAAUCCAAAAUAAAUUUGUUCAGUCUAAACCUUAUAGCUAAGUUUGAGUAUAAAAAUAGCGAGAGGAACCUUGAAUACAUACGACAUUUGUGUUCUCAAUAUAACUUCACAGUUAUUUUGGCGAUCAGUGCACUUGACUUGCUAGUUUACUUGUGAACCUAUAUUUGAUAGGAGUAUUAGACUAUGAUCAAAGUCUAUUGAUUCGUUCUUUAGAGUUACUUUGAUGUGUUUAAACUAGCACGGACUCUCCAUCUUGAUGUGAUUGGGCAUGCAUGUUAUCGAAUCACCAUCUAGUAAAAUAAUACGAGUUCUAAAAGACCAUUGUUGUAGUUAGAUAAUCUGCUUCACUAGUGGAUUUAUUCUUAAAUUGAUGUGAGUGGUCUUCUCCGUUUGUUGUUAAUCCGGUACUUGCAUGAUUUCGAACUAAAUUCAGUUGGCAUUGAUUCCCUAGAAUAAUAGAGGCACUUAGAAAAGCUCCACCCAAAAUAUCCAUCUCGUCCUUACAUUUUCCCUUAGGUAACCCAAUCAUAGCUAAAAAGGCUUUUUAAUACGCCCCAUAAUAUUGCAUCCCCUUUCUUUCAAGCCUUCAUUUGAUCAUAUGUACAUUAGUGGCAUGUAACUUGGUCGAGUCUAGGAGUCAAUAAAGUUGCUAAAUUGAGUAAUUACAAGAUUAUAUAGUCUCCCUUGAUCUUUUUAUGUAUAAGUGGGAUUUCAAAAAAUAAGAAAAACAUUUGAAAAUCUCGAGAAAAGAGAGGAGACUAGCGAAAAACCCUGUAUCGAAAAUAAAAGAAAGAAAAAUAACAUGAAAAAAAGAAACUGUGAUAGAUUAGUUGAAUAAAUGAGUACAAAAGCUCGGAGUAGUAUAGUGAAUAAGGGAUAGACGAGCUAGUUUGAGAUCAUGUAGAAAGUUGGAUCCUUGCAUAGUGUUAGUUUUGUUAGCAAUUAAGCUCCAUAUUAGGGUAGACCGAUUCUUUCGCCGCUAUAUACAUCCUCCACCAAAUUCAUUUGACCUUCUCUUCUCCUUUCUGUCCACAUUACAACCCUAAUAAAAACAUCUCUUGACUAGUAUUUGAUGUGCCACGAUGUGUUAAGUAAAAGCAAGUUGAUGUGCAAGUAUUGGAUGCGUGUCUCAGAGUAGAUGAUAAGCGCAUAAACACUCUCCUUAAACACUUGAGUGGCUGCUUUCGGCUUCAUCUUUAAGUCGAACUCCCUAUGAGUGUAAGUCUAGGUGGGUGGUAUAACAUGCAUGAUGAUGUGUGGCAAGUUGGGGAACUUCUUGUGAGGCCUUUACUUCUUAUUUCGGUUGUGUUUAGAGAUUCUUUUGUUUGUCAAGAAAUUUAGGGAUGCUUUGAGGGACAUGGGUCUUCUUAGCUAUGUUAGUAGUUUCAUUUGAUUGUAGAUGUGUCUAUGGCUUUAUCAGCUUUUUGCUUGAGGACAAGCAAAGCUUAAGUGUGGGGUUGUUUGGUAACACUCAAUUUGUCGUGUUCAUUGCCUUUAUUUAAGAAACUUUAUGUGCAUAUUUGUAUAGUUUUGGGUAAAAUUUUAGGGUGUUUUACGCAUUUCUAGCUUCUAUCUUGAUUUAGUGUCUCGAACCCGCUCGGGAUCCUUUUGAUCGUUUUGGAGUGUUUUUGUAAGAUUUCAGGUACAUGAUGAUAUCAUGGCACUAAUCAGAGUAAUACAAACGUGCAUGGACCAGGUAGGACGUUUUCAGGAUUGAAGAAAUCACAAGUGUUGAACAAUGUCACGAUUUAUGCUAUCGACUUGUAAAAAAUUGCGAUAUGCACAUAACAUAAUUAUUGACAUUUCAUAGCACAAAAGUUGAGACACCAUUCUAACAACUUCGGAAAUAAUUGUGCUAUAGAUUAUCAAAUAUUGUGCUAUGGCCAUAGCGCAAUUAUUGACUAUAUCCCAAUUGUUGACAAAUCCGGCGUUUUGAAGGAUUUUGGAAUCUCCAUUUAAAGGCCUCUCACCCUUCAUUUGGAGACAGACUUUCCCGAACGAAAUUCAGAGCAAUAUUGAGAGAUUUUUGAGUGACUUUAAGGAAACUUCAAGGAGCUCGAAAUCGAAGAAAGGAUCAAAGACGGUGAAUCAAGUUCUCGGAAAGAUCGGUGAAAUUAGGUUUUUCAUAAUUAUUUGUGUACACCUAGAUUCAAUGUCUUACUCCAUGAUUUUUAUUUGUCUUCUAAGAUCAUGAGCAGCUAAACUUCUCUUACUUAGAUUAGAUGACCCUAGGUUAAUUCUUAUGAGCGAAUGAUUUGAUACGUUUGACAAUUUAUGCGAGUUGCAUGAUUUUAGUUCAUGUUUGAUUUUGAAUUCAUUUUCGUUCUUGCCUGAUCAACUUGAAUGAAUCUUUGUUAGAUUUGUCUCGAGAGAUCAUGCAUAUCUAGAACACAUAAAUCAAACAACUAGGUUAGACGUUAACCCUCACCUGGAAGCGAACGAACUAGUCGGUCAUGUGAGCAAUUCUUUUUUGUUUACUCGCCUAGCGAGUUUCAACUCUUCGGCUUGAAAGAGCGGACUGGGAUACUAGUAAGGUAGCAAAUUAGCCAUCCUGAAAAUGCAUGAUUUGAUUAGAGGAGAAUUGCUAUAGUUUAUUGAAUCUAUCUUGUUUCGUUUUAAAUCGUGGAAUUUGUCUGUCACUUGUGAGAUUGAGUUGCCUAGGGAUUCAAAGUCUAAGCAGUUUCAUCCAUGUUUGUCUAAACUAUAUUCGUGCAGUCUUGCAAUCUUGGUUUUCUCUGUCAUAGCAAUUUUCUUUUUCUUUUUAGUGUUCGAUUGGUUCUCGUGGCACCUACACCACACUUUUUAUUACAUCGGUUGAUACUUGUUGCAACUUUAAGUAAGAUACAUAGAGAGAAUCAACUCCGAUUAAUUAAUUAACCGGAUUAUUUUGAGAACGCUACAAAAACGUUUAUUAGGAUGUCAUAAUCAUACCCCUAGGGUGGUCAUGUUACAUGCUAUUUCAUCAGUCAGUGGGUCAUCGUUGCCAUCAUCGCCAGCCUCGUCAAGGUAGGAUCAUGAAGCAGUUGAGGAUGCAAUUCCCACUUUGCCCACAUUGCGAGAAAGGUGGGAUGAGUGUUCUUCAAAACAGUUAUCAAGAAAGGCUAUAAAUGCAAGACUACAUCGACAGAAGCAGGGGUUCCUAAAACCGAAACUCUGACACCAUUUGUCAAGUUAUUUUUUUCUCUGCAACUUUUACAUUCUCCACCACUUUAGCUGUAGCCGUAGUUCUUAGAGCUCUUAUUGAACCUCUAUAGGAGUAGUGAUAAUUUAAUGUAAAUUGUCCCAAAAACACAAUAAAAUGAGACACCCUCAAUUGAACAUUUUUCGAAAAAGUUUGAACCGUGCUUAAAAAUCCUUGUUAAUAGAAGUGAAAAUUGCAUCUAUAUCAAGUCAACGUAGAGUUUCUUAAAAUACAAUGUGAAAGAUGUAAGGAUCUUUAAUUAAUAUGAUCGGAUAAAAUAAAUAUGAAGUAUUUGACCAUAAAUUGGACUGCCGUGUGUUGUAAACAAUGAAAAUGAUUUAAGGUUUAGAUAACAGUACUUUAGAGAUGAAUAAAAAGAAACAUGGUAAAACUAGUAUUUCACAAAAAAUUAGAUUUAUGUUAUUAAAUUGAACCAUGUCCCAGAUACAACCCUAUUAAGACGUAUGCAAGUUAUUUUCAACUAUACCAGGAAGUUUUUGAAGAUUUGAAGGUAUUAGUCCAUGUGAAAUUGCUUUUAAUUAGAAAUCCGGAUAGACGGUCAGGAUAUUAUUUGUUUGUUGACAGCAAACAAAUUCCGUCCGUUCAUUUUAAAAUUUUAAUUUAAAGGUUGUCCAAUUGAAUAAGGGCAGUUUUGUCAUACAAGUCGCUUUAAGUACCUCAUUUACUCUUUAUCUUUUCCACCGCCAACACUCUCUCACCUCUUCUUCAUCCUCUCCUAUCUGGCAACACCGAUUUCUUCGUCACCAUCACUGCCUCUUCGCUUUGUUAAACACUAUACUCUUAUGUAUUCGUAUUUGUAUGCUAACUUUCUUGUUUUUACUUAUUUGCGUACUAAAGGUUUUAUGUAUUAGUGUUUAGUUUAAGUUUUGUUUUCCUUUCAUGCACUUUUACUAUACUUGUUUCUAUUAUUAUGUACUCGCUUUUUAUUUAUUUGUUCCUUUUGUUUUGUACUUGUGUUGGUAAUUCUGUACUCACUUUCUGUGUACUUAUACCUCUACGUGAUUUUAUACUCAACGCCGUACUUGAGUUCUUAUAUAAAAAAUUUCAUGCACUCAUACUCAUAUUUGUUUCAUGUAUUGCGUACUUGCGUUUUACUUUAUUAUACUCAAUUUUAGCAAUCAAAUUGUCAUUUCUCUGAGUUGUUCUUUUGUACUUGUUUUUAUUUUAUGUACUCGCUAUAUAUUGUACUUGUUAUUUCUUCACAAUAUACUCAGUACCGUACAAAUUUCGGUACUCGAGUUCCUAUAUAUACUCAAUUUUGUUGUCUUGUUUAUAUCAAAAUUUUUACUGUAUUCGUGUUUAAUUUGAGUGUUUUUAAUGUAUGCGUGUUUAAUUUGAGUGUCUGCUUUUAUAUACUUGAUAUUUACUAUGUUUGUUUUUGUUGUUAUAUACUUAUUUUUUUAUGUACUUGUUUCUUCUUUUAGCAGUUGUUUGUGUUGGUUUUGUACAUGUUUUUGUGUACUGUGGUUAUUCAUGCGAUAUCAAAUAAUUGAUCACAUGAGAAAAAAAAAAUUGGCUAGUGACAAUAGAUAAAAACAACCCCUCUUUUUAAUCGAUAAGACACUAUAUGAUAAAGACAACCAAUUGGAAAAAAAGUGCAACAUGUAUAAUAACCCUCGAGCUUCAUAUAUAAUUCUAACCUUUCGUAUAUAUACAACUUCUGCAUGCAUGUUAAAGAAAUGGAGAAGAAAAUAUCACGCCAAGCUCGAUGGGUGCAAUAGAAUCUACCCACCCACGUUACUCAAUAGACCCAAUUUACAAGAAAUAAUUUUACUUGAACCAAUAUUAAACAAAAAGGAAAAAUAACCGGAAAGACAAGAAAAUUUUGAAAAUGACCAAUACGCCCCUGAAUUAAAGUUGCGAUCCUAUCCGUUAGAUCUUAUGCCUAAGAUGGACGGUUCGGAUAUUUUCUUGCCACCAACAAUUAUCCUACUUCUUCUUGCUGGAAAUCCGGACCCUUUAAUUAGUGUCCUAUUUCUUUUAAAAAUAAUCAAUUUUGUUUCCUUUUGCUAUGUACAAUUCAAUAUUUAGAUUCUAAUGAAGCUCAGAAGCUGUAUAUACAAUAUACUAUGUAUAUUAUAUUUUAUAGGUGCGCCUAAUUGUUGUAUGGAACACCAGAAUAUAUAUACAUUUUUUUUUAAAGUGGAAUGAAAUUUAUUAAGGCUCAAUCUAACAAAUAGGGAUUUCAAAAUUACGUAAUCAGUUAGGAGUAGCUACUCGUCGCUCUCGCUCGUGUGAUGUCCGAUUUCUAACUCUCCUAACAAAAACCACAUUACAAGUGGGAUUACACCAAAGAAAAUUGGAACAGUUACGAGCGAUCCUCCCUUUUUCUAAAACGUCCUUGGCGUAGUUGCGAAUAGCGUCGCAGGAUGCAAGGCUGUCAGUCUCGAAAGUAACAUUUGAGAGGCCUUUCGGUUGGGCCCAGACAAUGGCAUAGAGAAGAGCAGAGAGCUCUCCUUCAAGAGGUGUGAGUCGUCGGGGCAGAAUAUGAGUCUGGUAGCCAAGGACCCGUCCUGUAAAGUUGCGGAGAAUGAGACUCAGACCACACAGGGUGUGACGAGAAAAGGAAGCAAAGUCUGCAUUGAUCUUCAAACUGUCCAAUCUUCGGGGGAUGCCAACCUGUACAGUACGAGUGCGGAGCAGCCGUAGUUUGACGUGGAAUCCUUGCAGCUUUCCACUCUUCAAGUUGGACGUAGUUUGACGUGGAAUAGUUGCUGAGGCGGACCACCAUGGUCAAAAUAAGCGCUUUGGAAUUCCAUACUCGAUCAUUCCUUUCACACUAAAUACCUGAUAGGAGGACAAAGACUUGAGCUUUGAGAAAAGACACGUUCGUAUCGAGAAAAACAUGUAACCAGUCUUCCCAAGUGGUACUUCCCUGCCAGAGAUUUUGAAGCCAAUUGAGCAUACGCGCAUCGCGCCAAACGUCCUGUGCAAAGGGACACGACUAGAAGAGAUGCUUGCAGGUCUCCUCAGCGUUAUUACAAUGCCACACAAGUCUUGAAUCUGAACUCCACGUUGGACAAGCUUGUGGCGUGUGGCAAUGGCACCUCGGGCAUAGCGCCAAACCAACUGCUUCAUGCGUGGAGGAGCUUCAACAUCCCAGAGCCACCUGCAAUCUCCUGCAACCGACAAGUUUUCCAGCGAACCAAUAUGAUCGAUUGCAAGUCGGUAUGCCGAGCGUACUGUGAACAAUCCCUUUGGACGAGCGUCCAGAUUCGAGUGUCCAUUGAGUUAGGUUGUGGAGGUGGCGUGCCGAGGAUCUUGUCAACAUCCCUGUUAAAAAAAGUGAAGCAAGUUUUUGCUCAUCCCAAUCCCAAAUGGUUGGAAGGAGCAAAUCAUGAACCGUCAAAUUCACAAGUUACAGAUUAGGAGGCGUUUCCAAAAAGUAAUUCGCAUCCCCUUGUAGCCAAGGUUCCGCGAACACUUUAAUGGACAAUCCUUCCCCGAAGUUCCAUCGAUUACCUGAGUGAAUGGUCUCUUUCGAUGAAUGAAUACUCCGCCAAACAUAGCUAGGCCGGUAUCCCAGCUUUCCAUAGAGAAAAUCGCCAUUGCGAUAAUAUUUAGUUUUGAAAACUUUUGAGACUAGAGUAUCAGGAUUGGUAAGGAAGUUCCAACCCUGCUUCCUUAAGAGAGCCAGGUACAUUGUUGUACCGAUAUUUUGAUACGUGGUGUAAUACUAUUGAUCCUUAUAAUUAAUAUAUAUGAGUUUCUUUUAAAAUUCUUAAAUUUAGACUUAUUGUACAAUUUAAUCAUUCAAUCUUUCAAAAAAAAAUUCAACAAAUCUAGGUUAUCACCAUCUCCUCAAUGUUAUCUUAGGCGUGUUUAGGAUUAUAAAUUUUUUUGAAAAAACCUCAUACUUUCAUUAAUAAAAAGUAGGACAACUCUGAAUUACAACUAGGAAUCAGUGGAGGUCCCAAUUUUUUAAUCUGAUUGUCAAAUGCCAAUCAGUGGAAUUUUGUUGUCUGUUCAUGAUCGGUGUAUCACUUUCUCCGAUGAAAUGCCCAUUCAUCUCCUUUUCAAUGACACAGUUCUUGAGUGCUAGAAAAGAGUAGAUCAGUGAGUGACUUUCCAUGGAGAAAGAGGAAGAUGAAAGGAUAUGGAUUUUCACGAGUGCUAUUCUGCUGAGGGAAGAAGAAGAUGAAAUAGAGUUUUUGUUCACCAAACACACCAUAAAUAAAACUAAAACCAACGUUGACAUGGAAAUCAAAAUGGUAGAGAUCAAUCAAUGCAGUUCAAAUAUUAAAAAUAGCUAUCGAAUAUGUUUUUAUAUUUAUUAAAUUCCAACCAAUUAAGACAUGCCAUGUAGUCAAGGUACCGAUAUAACUAGGUUACUAAAGCGCUUGCUAUAUAACAAAAAGCACUUUAAAAUCGAGAUGAAGUAAUUAGAUACAUAAAAGUCAGACCUUAAUCACAUCCAUAAGACAAAUAUUAAUGAAUAGAGAAACAUUGGAGAUCUGGUUUAGUUCUCUGUCCAAACAGGAAGCCACUGUUUGCCAUCAACGAAAUCAAUGGACAUGUAUUCCUCUGCUUCUUUUUCCGUAAGCUCUUUUGCCCAUGGAACUCGUUUGUCUGAUUCAGCACCUGGUCCAUGGCAUUUAUAUUCUGCUUGGAACAUAUUCCUGUAUUUACAGUUUGACAGCCAAGGUAAGAUUGGUGAUUCUAUCCCAAGGUGUCGAAGAAUAUAGUAGAUGAAGGGUGGAUGUCAUGCUUACUCUGUAGUUCCAUCGUAACUCCAAUUGCUCCAACCCUCGGGUGCAAUGGUUCUAGAAAGGUAAGUUUUGCAAAACACAACUCUAGAAUAAGCGCCUUUAGCUCUCCCCAAAUAAACACUUCCAAUCCCAUAAACUUUCCCCUUUACAAAAACAAACCCACUCUCGUCAGCUUCUUCCCUAUUCUGUGCUGUCACCGAUCCCAGUAUCUUCACCCUGAAGUCUGCUAUAACGAACAUCUCGCAGCUCUGCCCAAAAUAAUAUCAAAAAAUCUUAACUUUAACUCGUUUGGAUGAGGCAUUUUCGAUAUGUUAUAUUUUUUUAGAAAUAAAAUAAUACGUUAUUUUAUAAUAUAGUAUUUAUGUGGUGCACAAAGACUGUGGCGUAAGAAUUAUCAUAUUUGAUUAAUAAGUUCUUCAAUGUUGUAUUUGGUAAUUGAAAUACCACAUUCUUAAAAUAAAAUACUUAGAUAGUAGGGAGGUAUUUGAAAUUACGCAAGUAUUUCAACAACCAUAUCUUGAAAUGGCACAAAUUUUAUUUUGGUUGCUAAGCGAGUUAUUUUGACGAAGUAUUUGAAAAUAACUCAAAAGUAGGUUAUUUGAAAUAUCACAAUCUCAAAUACUACAGUAUUUCAAAUAACUAGAUGACAGGGAGGUACAUAAUUUGAAAUAACUCAAGAAAUGAGUUAUUUCAAAUACCCAUCCCGAAAUGCCACAAUUUUUAUUUUGGUUGUCAAACGAAUUAUUUAGACGAGGUAUUUGAAAUAACUCAAAAGUAAAUUAUUUAAAACACUAUGAUCCGAAAUACCACAAGUUUAGUAUUGGAUGCCAAUUAACCAAAAUACUUCAUCCAACAGUUAGCUUGAAGAAUGUAUCGUCAAACCAAAAACAAUUAAGAUAAUAAAAAGUAUUAGCUAGUUUAAAGUUUGUUUUAUAAAGAGUUUAAAGUUACUUACAUAAAAAAUGGACCUGGCUCGGCCGAAGAUAAAAUCGAUGGAGCCUUGGAUGUAGCAAUGGUCAUAGUAAUGUCUGCCUUUGUAAUCGAAAAGGGUGUUGUGGUUGCUGUAGAACGCACAGCGGUAGAAUGCUGCCCUGUCGUGUCCAACGAAUGCAGCCACCGAUUGAUUUUGGGAAGUGAAUGCUUCCCCAACUGACGCUUCAUUCUUGAAACUAAUUCCAUACGCAAUGAAAUUUGGGGAUUCUAGUUUGAAGGUAGCUGAUUCCAUGUUGUCGGUCGAACUUUGUGACCACACAAUGUACGUUUUCCCUUUUCCAUUCCCUCUCAAAAAUAUGUAGGGCUUGUUGCACGGAAUGUGUACUUUCUCCCUGCAAUUUCAGUUACUUAACAUGUAAUUAUGCUCCACAUGUAGGGAGUUGAUUAUGGAGUCUGGAUUUGGAAUUAAGGAAAUGGUUUAUAAAUUCGAUCUAGAAAGUCAGCACAAUUAUCGGAUGUCAAAAAAUCUUGUCUUAAAGGUGGAAAACACGGGAGCAAAAAUGACAUUUCAUAACUUUACAAAUGUGUAUACCUACCGUACAAAGUUGUACAGUCGAUUAUCGGAAAUAUUUUAAGAAAAAUAAAAAAAUUUCAAACAUGUAGAGUCGACGAUGGUGAUUAGUUGGGUGCAAAAUUUUCGUCAACGGAGAAUUGACGUGAAACUGGUCGGAAAUGUUUCCGGUGACCGGAAAUGGCCGCGCAGUCUCCGGAGGGGUGGUCUGGGAUCAUUGAUGGUUGGGUUCUGAUGCAACAAAAUAUUUAAAACAGUAUGACCAUAUUCCCUCUGAUUUUUCAUAGCUAUACGAUUGUGUAUACUUUCCGUACAAAGUUGUACGGUCGAUCGUCGAAAAAUAUUUUCAGGAAAACAAUAUUGGGCCCACAAUUUUUUGUCAACAGAUGUCGGAAUCGCCGGGGAAAUUGAUUGGAAAAGUUUUCGAUGACCGGAGAUGGUAGUCCGAUCACCUGAAACGGUGGUUUGAUCACCGGAAAAGGUGGUCCAGCGAUUGGGGAUGAUUUGAUGCAACAAAAUAUUUAAAACAAUGACUAUAAUACCUCUAAAUAAUCUUGUCCCUUAAAUUAUGUGAAAAUCUAAAGACCCAAAUUACUCUGAGAUCAGAUCCAGAAAGAAAUAGCUAUCACUCCAUAAUCAGACUCGACGAUUAUGAUGGCUCAAAUUAUAAAUUUUGUAAUGCUGAACAAACCUGUAAAUUCCUUUCCUAACGUGGAUAAUGAUCCAUUGAGAAUUGUAAAGAGGAACAGCAUCAAUAGCUUCUUGUAUGGUUUUGUAGUCCCCUUCCCCGUCGAUAUCGACCUUGAUCGUCCGAUUGGUGCCGAUCUUACUCGUCAACAAUUGAGAGUCUAUCUUCGCGUUUGUUGACAUCGCCUCAGCCUGCUCGCUCAAAAACAAUACGACUCCAUAGACUAGAGUCACGGCAAGCACCAUCUGAAAAUUAAUCGAGGAAGCCAUUGUGUUUUUUUUUAUUUUCUUUUGUUUUUUUGUUUUUGUUUUUGUUUUUAGAGAUCCAAUGCGUCAAUGAACGCUGAAAUCAGGUUCAUUGACGAAUAGCAAGGUUAUUAGUGUUCUUGUUCCUGCCCCUUUUCUGUACUUUUAGAAUUUGGAUGUUUAAUUUAUAAGAUUAGUUUUCCGUUUGGAGAAACGAAAAUGGGUUGAGACAAGGCCUCUCCUAUAUUUGGCACUCAAAAUAUGGGGACGCUAUCGCCUACCGUUUAGUCCUUCCCCGAUAAAAGUGACAAAAUUGAAAAUCAUUUAUUAUUCACGGUGAUAGAAAAUAUGUGAAAUUUUGGGAUAAAAUUAGCUUCAACAACUACUCUUCUUCAAAGCUCUAAUAAAAAAAUAGUUUGGGUUUAUUAUUAUUUUCUAAACACAAGGUGAGUCUCUCCCACAUAUUCUACGGUCUUUUAUCGGGGGGUCUCGCUACCCAAUGGUUUGAGAGCUCAUUCCCAGCUGCUUGACCAAUUUUUCUAUUAAGCGGGGAGAGUUAUAUGAGCUAGCGCUGGAUCAGAUUAACCGUCGUCGGAUCAGCUAAUAAAUGAUCUAAAAGUUGAUAUGAAAAUGAAAGAUUUUGGAACUUUCCAAAUUUAGGGUUGAACAGGUCCAGCCAUAAGAAGUGAUUUGUCGACAAUAACUCAUUCAAGCUCUUCGAGUGUUUGAUGUUUUGGGUAUCCCAAAUUCGGACUCCACCGGUCGUUUCCUAUUUUAUUAAUUUCAAUUUGUCUUUCCUUUUAAAUAAUUAUUUCCCGCUUUCUACCAUCGGGUAUUGCUUAGCGUCUGGGUUGCUGGACUCUGUUCAAGGUUAUCUAGUAUAAGGAUGAUUGGAAGUACGAAUGCGGUAACUUUUGCUACACAUUUGUGGAAUCGGACUUCACUCGUUAAAAGUGAUAAUCCUCUCUGAGGAUCUUGUCUUCUCUAUGAUAUAUCACGAUGCUCAUAUAUGUUAUAAUCUUGAACCAUCCAUGUUAUAACCUUGGACCAUUAGAGACCCAUGUCUAGCUAAUGGUUCAUUAGAGACUCAUAGUUUAUCCUAAGCCCGCCAAGUGAAUGUUCCCUUACGAUAAGAUGUUUGAAUAAUAUGGCAAGUGACAUAAUAAGUUGAGCAACCAUAGUAAUGGUUGCAUAGUAAUAAAAUGAAUAUGUUAGCCCUUAGGGAUAAGGUGAUAUCUGAAUAAUGUGAUGUCUAGAUAAGGUGAUGUCUGAAUAAUGUGAUGUCUGGAUAAGGUUAUGUCUGAAUAAUUUUGAUACUGUAAAGUUAUUUUUGAAAUCAUAUGUGUUAUGUCUAGAGCAUGAUAGACUGACCCUGAACCACCCAGCAUGGUGUUUGUAAGUUGAUGCAUGAGCUGAGUGGAGCUGAUUAUGAUGUGGAGUGGUGAACUUGGUUUUUUUUAUUAGUGAUUGCUUUCAAAUGUUUAUACAGAGACUUGGUUCUUUUCAUGUUGUCUUAUGUUUGAGCUAUUUUCACUUUUUAAUAAAGAAGUUAAGUUUAUUUUAUGUGAUCAGUUUGUCUAUUUAAAUAAAGUUUUCAAAAUUUCUUUACUCCGAGUCCCAACAGGGCAAUUUGGUCAUUUAAUAAAUAGAAAAUGUUUGAGGUGUUUCACACUAAGUGCAUAUUACUUACAAGUCAUUUUUUUUAGUGUAGUGCCCUGCGGUUAUAAUUAGAAUUGAAUCUCUUUAGUAUGACUUCCUGUAAGCCAGUGAUUUGACCUAUUCUCCCAUCUACUUAUGUACGUCUAUACAUUUAUGGUCCUACAGGAGCCGCUGCCCCUAGGAGGAAAAGUCUGUGACGACGGUAUCUUAAUUGAGGGGCUUCGAGAGCCGGUGAGAGAGUUAUUUGGAGGAUGUUCACCCGUUGUUUUCAUGAGUUUUCUUUCUAGUUUUAAAACUAUUUUUAGGCUCCCUUUUAUUUGGGAGGAAUCUUGUUUUCAUGUUUAACAUUUGUACAGAGUUUUUAAUUGUCGGUGCUAGCUAAUUAGGAGCUUUGGGAUAGUUUCUUUACUUAUAGUUUAAACCAUAAUAGAGUUUGAUCUUGUGUUGUGAUGCCUUGGAUGAGUUGAUGUUGACCAUAGUGAACCACCGCGUUUAGUAUGCAUGGGCCAAACCAGUGGUUUGACCAGGUUUUUUAGAGGCGGGUUUGAAACACCCUAAUUUCUUGUGAUUUAUUAAAUGACUAAAUUGCCCCGGCCAGGAAAUUUUAAAACAAAAAUAAAAGAGAUAAAACCAGAAAUCUUUAAAAAUAAGAGGAUAAACUUUUUAACUAGCAGCGGAAAUGACCCUAACACAUGGGAACUCAACAUUCAAAAUCAAGUCUCAAUAAGUAGUUUUAAAUACUUUAUUUCAAAUUCCAGGUCCAUACUUGCCACAUCUUGAAUCAGCUUCACUCUGCUCCUGCAUAACUUUCAAACACCCUGGUGGGUGGUUCGGGGCCAGUCUUUCGCGCUCUAAUCUUAUCAAUACGAACUUAAUAUCCUAAAUACUUAAUCAUCAACAAGGAAUCAUCAAUAACUAAUCAUCAUCAAUGAAUCAUCAAUAAAGAAUCAUCAUACAUUCAUAAAUAACCAUAUCACCUAAUGUAGUCCUCUUUAUGUAAUCCUAUCAUAAGUAAGAACUUAACAUGAUAAAUACUUAAUUAUCAACAAGGAAUCAUCAAUAACUAAUCAACAUCAACGAAUCAUCAAUAAAGAAUCAUCAACAAGGAAUCGUCAAGAACUAAUCAUCAUAGAUUCAUAAGUAACCAUAUCACCUAAUGUAGUCCUUUUUAUGUAAUCCUAUCAUAAGUAAGAACUUAACAUGAUAAAUACUUAAUUAUCAACAAGGAAUCAUCAAUAAAGAAUCAUCAUGAAAGAUUGAAGCUAAAGUCAAUCAAGUUAGGUGCAUUAUGAAUCAUAGAACUAUAGUUCUUGUAACUUGUCAUAUCAUAAACAUCAUUCUUGAGGAAGUCAACUUACAUGACUCUGAUUCUUGUAAUAUCAUUGACCUUAACUAAGGUAUCUUAUUUCUUGUGGGGGCAUCCCCCAACUCAACUAACUAACCCACCGCCUAGCGCUAAAAUCAUAGAGGUCUGGGAGUACAUAUCUAUCAGACGGUAUCAUAAAUCAUAGAGGGCAAACUGUGGCCCGUAAUCAUAGUGGGUAUAUGCCCGAAUCAUAGGGGCAAUAUCACAAAACAUCUAAAUGAAGUGUUCAUGUUUCUUAUCACUAGUCAUGUCUAAACUUAUCAUCAUCUAACAUUAAUGUUAGUCUAACCUUAUCAUAGUGUUAACAUUAUCAUUAGUCUAACCUUAUAGUUAUAUAGGAGGCAUAACUUACACAACAUCGAAGUAAUAACAUGUCAUAAAUAAACAAUUAAACAUGGAGUCACGACAUAAACUAAAUGCAUCAAAUUAACUACUUAAUCGAACCUAUUGCAACGACAAGAUAUUACCCCCUUAAACCAACCCACCUCAUUGGCAAGCCGACAUCUCAGAAAUAUCUUUGAUAUGAUUCCCAUUGCUACCACGAAAUCACAGCCUUAGACGGUGCGUCGUUCUGAGCGGAGGUUUACUUCUUUGCAACUUGCUGAAACUUCCAGGGGAGAUUUUGUCAUUUCACUGCCCAACUUGGCAAACUUCAGAAUCAGUUCCCCAACUUCUGGUCCUUGCAGUUCAGCCCCUAUCAUACAGAGAAUUCAAGUCCAGUCAUCCAAUUCUCCAGAAACACAACUCAGUCCUCAAACUUACAGAAAACGCAGUCAGAUACCUUAUCUUUCGGAUUCUGCAGAAUGAUCACCAUACUUUCCAGAAUUACAGUUUGGUUAGUCUUCUUCUCCGGCGAACUGCUCGCCGCCGGUGAACUCAUCUCCAGAUUCCGGCGAGCUCCAAACCUCUUGGAACUACCGCCAAUCCGCCCCCAACCCUUUGUCGGAUGCCUCGGAGUCCCUUCCGCUGCUUCUCCCGCGUUCCACCGUCGUCCUCCGCCGAAACCACCGCCGUUGCUCUUCAAUUCCCGCUGGUGACCUGUAGUUUCCGUCGAUGGUUGCCGUAACCAUCACCUUCCCCGAUCGUGUAGCUCAGUCCUUAAAAUCAUAGCACGAACACCGGCUUCGUUUGCGCGAUGGGAUCGAUUCAAGAAUCGGCGCCGCCGCUGAGCUCCAUCUCCUGUCUGUUGCUACAUCCAUCUCUUACUGUUAAACUAAAUCAUAAUACUCCCCAUCCCUUGAUUGAUAACGGAGGCCCAAACUUCCGCUAGAUCCAUCCAACGGAGCGAAGCCCAUUACGUCAUCAUUACUUCAAUUAAGACCUAAAGCCCACAGUCAGCGACUGAAGUCCAAAAUGUGGCAGCCCUGCUCCUUUACUUGAACGGAUCAAGUCAAACGACCGCCGUUCGAUUCAUCACACGAUUCUGAUCUCCUCCAACACAUAACUAAACAAAAUCACGCCUGGACUCCAUCUCCGAUUGGUCAACCAACCGAACCUCACCGAUCCCUUGGACUUAGUCAACCGCACAGUCAAACUUCUCGGAUCCUUAAAUUAAUAAAUUAAAUUCACAUCAAAUUCACAGAUUCCACUAGGUUCAUGACUUUGAUAAUUAAAGAGCUUAGCUCUAAUUUACAUUAAUUAGUCCAUAUGACUAAUUAAUCAAACACUACUAAUGCUUACCGCGUCAAACUAGGAAGUCAAACCUCUCGAAUUAAAUAUUCGAUUCCAAAACAGGGUUUUUACCCGACGAGUAGGAUAUUAUUCUGACCGUUAACCUAUAGCUUAUCUCAUGAGCCGAUUCCGACUGAUAUCUAUAUAUCAUUAUUCAACAACCAAUUUAUCUAAUUUAAUUUAUGACGUUUUUACUAAGCUAGACAUUUCUCUAACUCACAAUUUGACUAUAAUUUAUAUGUAAACUAAGUGAUGAUUAAAUAUAAAAUUUCUAAAGUAAUACUCAUAAUGAUACUAAUAUUUUACUGUCACUAUUUUCUCUUGGAUAUUUUAAGGGUAAUUUAGGGAUUUCUUAAUUGAAUUUAUAUCGUUAGAAUUGGGGUGUAACAGGGUUCCACAAAACGGACAUCAUCUAAAAUAACCACUUUAAGGGAAGAAGGCAGAUGAAGAACAUCCAGAAAAUUCAAACCAUUUAUUCAUUUCAUGGUGACAGGCCGAUCUCCUACCACUUUUUUAUUCUUAUCUCGGUUCUGUUUUUUAUUCGCCAAGAUCAUGUAAAAAGUAAAAAAUAAGAAACAAUAGGCUAUAAAAAAUAGUAUCGGAGGCCUUCCGGCCGGGACUCGCUUGGGCCGGAACCAGCAGCCGACCGGGACCCCUCUCUGCCGAAACGAGCGGCCGGCCAGGCCUAAUUUUUUUCAUUAGGGUUUUGUUAAUGAAUAUUUAGAAAAAUUAGGGUUUAGGAUUAGGGUAUUAGGGUUUAGUUAGGAAUAAUAAGUGAACCUAGUUGAGUAGAAUCCGAAUUUUAUUAAAAACAUUUAUUUGUUUAAAUGCAGUUUAAUGACAAAUAUGGCGAAAACGAAAGGUGGAGAUAAAUCGCACAGUCGAGAUCCGGUAGAGGAAGAAACCGAUGGGAUCCUUUGGCCGAGGGGGACAAAUGGCGAAAACGAAAGGUGGAGAUAAAUCGCACAGUCGAGAUCCGGUAGAGGAAGAAACCGAUGGGAUCCUUUGGCAGAGGGGGAUAAGGAUCCCACCUGCGGCAUGCGAGAGCCAGUUAGGAGAUCCGGAGGCUUUGACACCGUUGGUGACGGCUGUGCCGCCGGCAUGGUGAAAAUCGCUGAAAAAAAUCCCUUCUGGAAAUUUAGGAGAAAAACAUUUCUCUUCGUAAUGCGUUAGAUGAUAUUUUGUUAUAAAAUCUCAAACCAAAAAAAAAAAACUUAAAUCUGGACUUCUCACCUCACGGUCACACAUUGGAAAAAGUUUGAUUUUAAUUUUGCUGGUGAUUAGUUAUGUAUUGCUGUCCAGGGCCAGACCCUGGUUGGGUUGGCCUUUCAAUGAAGGAAUCACCCCCCCCCCCCCCCUCAGACACCCAUCAACUCCAAAUUCUUUUCGCAUCAGACACUCACACAAACUUGUCACGUUAAGACCAUAUUUUCCCGGAAAUUUCAAUCAUAUUUUAAUUUUCCCCUCCCCUUUCACCUUCCUUCUUCCUCCAUCCAUACAAAGAAUUUUCUCCGAAUCUCGCUCUCUCUCUCUCUCUUCUCGAGAAAACACCUCCUCCUCCUCCUCCUUCUUCUUCUUCCUCUGGAUUGUCCAAGUUAAAUUAAAGAGCUGUUAACUGCAGCGCUAGUACACGACACCUUCCAUAGAGUUAUGCCUAUGCUUCACAAGAGCUUCAAGCCUGCAAAAUGGUGAGUUGACGCUUCCCUUCCCCGUUUUACUUGUCACCUGAUUUUUAUUUUCCAGCCUUGGUCGACCGAUGAUUAGGAUAUCUCAAUUAUCUGUAAUCUUUCUUUCAUCUUUUAUUUCCAGUACCAAUUUUUUAAUGGCGGAUUCAGCGUUGUAACCGUGUUUCGUUUGUUUUGACUUGUGGCCUGGUAUCGUCGUUGUGCAGCAAAACGGCAUUGAAGAUGGCAUCAUCACGAAUCAAGCUGCUGAGGAACAAGCGAGAUGUGCAAUUGAGGCAAUUGAGGAAAGACGUCGCCCAGUUACUCGCCGCCGGCCAUGAUCGGACUGCUAGGAUUCGGGUACACACUCCGUUAGAUUGAUUAUUGUUACUAUUGAUCAAUUUUGGAUUUGACUUCUUAUUUGUGUACUUCUACUUCUCUGGUUUCCCGUUUAUUUUCUCUUCUGCUGAGAAACCCUCUUUCAUGCCCUCUUUUUAUGACUGUUAACUUGUGGGUGUAGUUUGAUGCCUACAGUUUGAUUAUGGUUUGACCUCCGAUUUGUGGAGUGCUGUUGCAGAACUCACAGACUCUUGUCCAAUAUAGAGCUGUGUAAUACGACGAUGACAGCUACUGACAUAUCAGAAAACAGAUUCUAUUCAAUAUCCUACUUCAUCAUUAACUGACUUUUAUUGCGCUUUUAACAUUAUGUACUAAUGGAAGCAACGUAGCUCGUUUCUUUUUCUUUUAGGAUUCGUUCACGUUGUUGGUUUGGUUUCGUACCUUUCUUCAUCUUCUGACUGAACGCUUUGAUAUGCUCUUUAUUGGAGAUAAGUCUAAUUAUAGCUGGAUUUCUGCUGAUUACUCUUUUUUUUUGUUUCUCCUUACAGGUGGAACAUGUAGUUAAUGAAGAAAAGACGAUGGCAGCAUAUGACCUUAUUGAGAUAUACUGCGAACUGAUUGUGGCCCGCUUGAACAUGAUUGAGUCACAAAAGUAUGUUCUGCACUCUUUCUAAUCUCAAAGCUAGUUUACGCUAUUAUUCUGCACAGAUAUUGUGUAUACAGUAUCCUAUGAUUUCAUGGGUUUUGUCUUGAGUGAUGACCAAGCUGUAUAAUGAAAUAAGCAGUAGAUAGCAUUGUGAUAUUGACGUUUGAGUGUAGUCUUUCUCGCUUGUAAUUUAUGGUCUCAAUGUCUAUUGUUUUUAACUGCUUGCAGAAUCUGCCCCGUUGACUUGAAGGAAGCAAUCUCUAGUGUAAUUUUUGCUACCCCUAGAUGUGCAGACUUACCUGAGUUGACGGAUGUUAAAAAGAACUUGACAGCAAAAUAUGGAAAAGAUUUCGUCUCUGCAGCCAUUGAACUACGUCCAAACAGUGGGGUUAGCCGCUUAGUAAGUCUCAAGGAGUCAUUGUUGUGCUUGAUUUUGUGGUUUUGACAAAUUGAAAAAUAACAUUUCGUUUUUUAACUGAUCUCAGCUGGUUGAGAAAUUGUCUGCAAAAGCACCUAAUGGUCCGGAGAAAAUGAAAAUUUUGAGUGCAAUUGCUGAGGAACACAAUGUUAAGUGGGAUCCCAAAUCAUUUGAAGAUGAUAUCAAGCCAUCUGAGGACUUGCUCGUAAGUAUGAGAGUUCAUUGGUUUUUCCUGUUUUAUCUUAUUCUCUGCGUAGUUGUUGUAGCUACUAAUCUUCACAUCUGUGAUCUUCCUUGAUCAGAAUGGACCUGGAAAAUUUCAACAGGCAAGUGUGAUGCCUGCGGAAACUCAUAAUGCAGAGCCAUCCACGAAUUUCAACCAGAGCCAGGCUUCAUCCCAUGGCAGGCAUGAUGCAAGCAUGAACUCAUAUGCCCCCAGUUCCCGCACAUCUUCUCAUAUGCAAUCUCCUAGUGUUGAUGAUUUUCGUGCAAGUAACAUAAAGCCCUCAGUUGCUUCUCAGCUAGACAACAGGACUCCAGGUAGAGCCACUAUUUUAAAGAUUCGAGGUUACCUUAAAUCUGUCUUAUCUAGCCGUCUUUUUGAGUCCAUAUCCUGGUUUGUUUAACAGGUUCAGGACCUGAAGCUGUGGAAUUUAGACAUCCACAUGAUAGGCCAGGGAACAAUUUCUCAUCCGGAAGCCAACAGUGGAAUAUGGAGUUCAAGGAUGCCACAGCUGCUGCCCAGGCUGCUGCCGAAUCUGCAGAGCGAGCAAGCAUGGCUGCCAGGGCUGCAGCAGAACUUUCAACUCGUGAUAACAUUAAUUGGCAACAUUCAAGAGAGCAGCAUUUAGCUUUGGGUUCUUCACCAAGAGAUGAAGGGCAUCAUACUGGCUCUAGAUUGCAAGGUGAGGAACUUUCCAAGGAUAUGGCAAACACAUCCAAAAUUAAGUCUCGUGUGUCCAAUGAACAGCUUGAUGACACUGGAGAAGAUGAGCUAGCUGCAUUGUCUGAAAGGUUCUACAAUCUCAAGAGCAGAAUGCCUACCUCAGAAUCCAGCGGUCCUCCUGAAGUUGUUUUUCCAUCUAUGAGUGAUCCCCACACACCGGAGACACAUUCUCGAAGGAGCUCAUCUGAAUCAGAAAGGAGUGAUAUUUCAAGUGACACAAGCAUAAAAAGACAGCCGAUUGACAAAGAGUUACAUAUUGGUAGUAACAUUCAUGGUGGAAUGAAACAUGAAAGUGUUGAUAGUUUUAAGGAAUCGGGUGGCGAAGAACAGUCUAGUAGUCUUCUUUCGCAUUCCCAUUCACAGAUCCCGAGGGUUGAUGAGAAUUUUACUUCGAACUGGGACCAUCGUGGAUCAAGUGAAGAUACUAUUGGUGAUCCUUUUUACAUCAGUCAGGAAACAAGUCAAGUAAACGCCCAAGAAACAAGCUCAUAUGACGUUGCCACUGCAGCUUUUGAUGAUUAUCGUUCUGAUGAUGACGUCUAUGAUUUUCAUGCUGAGGAUGAAGUCAGGGACCAAAAAUCCAAUUUGUUUACGUCACCAGAAAGUGAAAAAACCUCUCAAAUCCCAGGAAGGACAGAUGCAUGGAGUCCUGGGCAAAGCGUGGUUGAGUCUCCAAGAAAGUCAAGUUCGUCCUCUCUUUUUGCCUCUGAGCAGCAUCCUUCUUCUGUAUUUUCAGGUGGUUUAACCACCAAUACAAUGUCUUCGCAGCCAGGCGAUUCGUUACCAGUGACUUUUGAUGACUCUGAUGGUUCAAGUUCCGAAAAUGAACAGGAUCCAAGUGAAGCGAACGUUGGUGAACCAGGAAUUACCAGCAUCUCAUCUCAUGUUGAUUCCAGAAAUCUUGACCAUCCCCACGAUGAGAGUACUCAAUGGAGGGGAUCUUUACUUGCUGAAAAGGAUGAGGUAAAGGAAAUUAGAAAGAAUUUCUCACGGCCAUCUUCAGUUGACUUUGGUGACGGAAUGAUGCACCAUCAGAUUAACAAGGAAGUUGAAGCUGGUGUGAAGGCUGAUACGCAAUUUGGUUAUUCCAAUGUCCAUCAAGAUCGCCCUUCAAUCAGAUCUGCAGAAUUGCAGCCCAAUUCAAGUGAUGUAAAUGAGAAGUUGCAAACACGAGGACCUCGAUCCACUAAAGAUUAUGGAGGUGUAAGUCAGCAGCCACGAGGAUCUGUGGAGGAUACUGAUUCUGUCAAAGAAUCCGAGUCCGAAAGUGGUUUGGAAUUGAACUUUGAAUUCCUGGCAGGUGGCUUCCGGAAUAAGGGCUAUAAACAUCCACCUUAUCAUAGCAAUGUUGCUAGCAGACCUUCACUGUCCAAGUACUCUUUGGAAGAUACUGUUACUGGUACGGAGCAUUCAACAUCUCUCGUAGGUGAUGUUAGCUCUAGAGAGAAUGGGCAAGAGACAUCCAGUAAGGUAGUGAACCCAGAAGCUGGUAGAAGAAUUAGCUCGAGAACUCAGGUUAGAAAUGAUGGUGAUUCAGUUGACGAGCAGAAAUACGGUAGGAAGGAAGAGCCACAGACAUGGGGAUCGGGAGUUGAAGUUAACAAAUACUCAGGUUCCAAAACCUACUUCGAUUCUGAUGAUAGUGAUGUUGGCGAGGAGCUUUCUAAGCAGAAAUCAAGAGGGAAAGUUCCAGCGCAGGUAUUUUCUCGGCGAACGAAGGGGGCUGCUGCUUCAAAUUCGAAUAUAAGUUCAUCUGCAAAGACAAGAGGAAAUAUUAAUGUUAGCCAUGGUGCUGUAGCGAAGUCAUCCUCGAGGGGUGAUGAAGUUGACAGAUCAGUUGAAGAAGAUGAAUCGACUGAGAGGAGGAAGUCUUCACUUGCUGGAAGUCAUCAAAGUCAUCCAUCACAGUCAAAGGAAUCGCGUUGGUCAACCAGUCCGCAGGCAGGUCCAGACAAGAUAGGGUCAUCUGGUGUGAAACAAGCAUCGAAUGAUGUAGCUCCGAAACAAGCAUUGAAGCCUGUAGCUCCGAAAACAGGGUCAAAACAAGAUUCGAUGAAUAGAGCUAGUCAUGUUCAUCCUAAACUUCCUGAUUACGACAGUUUUGAAGCACACCUACUGUCUCUUCGCCAGAACCGCCAGUGAAAAAUAGAACACACACAUGAAGUUAAUAUUUUAAUAUACACAGGUAUACUUGGGGUGUUUUGUUAUUGUUGAAAUUUUAUUUAUUGUUUGAUAGAUUGCUGGUACAGAAACGUUGGGGAGGCAUUUCAAGUUACAACGAAGAAUAAGGUGGUGGGUAAUAUAUGUAUUUAUUCACACACGGAACGGAAGAAGCAUGCAUAUGCAUGCUGUCUGGUGACAGAUGCGAUGAUCCUUUGGGCUUUUGUGUAGAUAUCUCGAAUAAGGACAAAUUCACUAGCGUGUAAACUUGUAUUAUUAUGGAUGGUGGAGCUGUGCAACUGCAAUUUUUAUUUCUCUUCUUGUUUUAUUAUGGGUGGUAGAAUCAAUCAUGGACAGCCUCAAGAAUAUGAGCUGCGUUGUUUGCUUCUCUGAAAGCAAGUCACCAAGCUCUGUGUGGCAGGGGUGCUUGUGACUGCAAAUCAAUAACCUUCUUGCUGUCUGAUUCGACAACCUCGUUGGACCAGCCAACUUGAGGCAAAAACAGACUUGCUCUAGCAAGCACCAUACUUCCAUUCCAAUCUCUGCAGUUAACACAAGCAUCAACAUUAAGCUGGGUGUUGAAGUCGAUGAAAGUGCCAAUUUUUUCCUUUCCCAACAACCAAGCUGGAUGCUGUAGCGAAGCGUCUCUUCUCUUCCCCACCAUCAGUUAGAUACAUACGCUUCAGUUAUUAUUGAAAACAAGUUCAUCUAAUGUUCAAGGGUAUUGGGAGAAUGGCCAAACCAUUUGUUGGCAGAAUAACCUAUGGCGGCUUACUAGUAGCUAGAGAAACAUGUGUUAGCCCAUAGUAUCCUGUAAACUAUUCCGAUAUCAGUAAGUAACGAAAUUCCAGUAUAUAUCUACCCUUUACACACAUGUAUGUAAGUUUCCCAGGUUUUUAUUUUGAAAUUCAAAUUGUCUACACGAUCAGCCAUCCGAGUAGGAGAUGCAUCAUUAGCAUGUUCAUGACUAUAAGAAGACAAGUGUAUGGAAAUUCAAAACACAAUAAUCACUAGCAUGUUUACUGCAAGAAACAAAUGAUUUAGAUGGAUUGAGAUCUCAUACCACGAUCCAAACAUAUAAGAGCAAUUCCAGUAUUGAGUGCUAAUCAAAGCAACUUCAAUAGUUGAGCCCAAACUGACAAACGUCCAGCUUCAGUGGUUAUGGGAUAUGAUUUCUGAUUUAGUAUCCUGCAAGCAAUCCUAAGAUUGUAGACAGUGAUCUAAUGAAAGUAACCAAGAACCUGACCCCCUACGUUUCGUUUAAUUGCCUCCUCGUGAUCCAGUACACCGUCCGGAGUUGAGAUCACUACAUAACCCCACUGCAUAACAAGAGGAUGAAAAAACUACAAAUUAAUCUCAAUUUUUGACGUGCUGUAAGAGAGAUGGCAAAACAAAAGAAAACUAAAGCUCAACCUAACCUGACGGGUUGGAAGAGUUUGCUUUGUGUAAGUUUCAAUUUCCUUAGCCUUGAUAUCUUGUCUGUAAGUAAGUGCCUUGCAAUCUUUUACCCUUCCUUGUAGUUCAACCGUUAUCCUCCCCACUCGCUGUGGGUCAAACACUUGAUAAUUUUUUAUGUACCCUGAAACCAUCAAAAUCAAGGCUUCAAGAUUCAAAUAAGAGGAAUUAAACAAACAGUAUAUGGAACAGCAAGCAAACACAAGAAUUGGAUUUCAAGAAUCGGCUGAAGAUUGCAAAUCUGAAAGAUUAUGUCAGCUUCUGUAUGAACAGAAGAUGUUAUCCAUUCCUUUUUAUCAGAGAGUGUAAGCAUCACCAUGAUCUAGUCUUUCAUUUCAGUCAACCAGAAGUACCAACAGUUGUCUGAUUAGGCGGCCUUCCAUAAUUUCCAACUAUGCAUACAAGUCUUUAGGCUGAGUUCUCUAACAUAGUCAGAUAAUUGGCCUUUCAUAAUGUGCCUGAAUACUCCUAGUGAGUUGCUUUCACUUAGAAAUUCCUAACUCUCCACAUGAAACAUAGCUGAUAAAUGAAGUAGUGUUUUUUGCUGACAGAAAAUGGAUAAUUCUAACAUCUCGCAGAGGUGCUGAACAAGUUGAUGCUAAGAAUAUUAGCUAAUACCUUGGACACAUAAUAUAUUAGCUAUUGUGCUAGUGUCUUUUUUCCAAUAAACGAUCUAAACCAAAAUCAUAAUUUGUAUGAACUAUCCAUGAUAUGCUUCAAUCUAAAUCGACAAGCGUUGCCACUGUGAACUGCAGCAGUGUCCUAUUGAAAUUGACCUCUUUCGGUUAAAGCCUUGUGAUUGUUAUGUUAGGGUUUAGGCAGACCUUGAUGAGGGUGAGGAUCAAAGUAACAAUACAAACUGAGUAACGCGUAAUCUGAUCCCUAAAUUGAAUAUCAUCUGGCCGAAAGUAGAAAGUGAAGCAUCACGAUAAACCAGACGAAAGCUAGAAAACAACAGAAGAAGAAGAAGAAGAAGAAGAAGGAAAUUGGAUAGAGAAGGAGAUACCUCGAUUUUUCAUGAUCCUAAGGAAAGACGACAUGACCGUGGAAAUAGGUUGAAGCUCCACUGUAGCUUUGGCUCUCCUUUCCGCAUUCACUAUGGCCCUCAACGCAUCGUUCAGUAUCCUCCUUCCCAUCUCUCCAAGCAGGUAAGCAGACUAAAAAUCUCAGAACCCCAACUGAUGAACAGACGACAAUGGCGAUAGAGAUUGAGACGGCAGACGGUUUAUGGUUUCGUCGCUCGUAGUUGACAUUAAGAGUCCCUAAAGUUUCUGCACAUUAGUGUAUUGGUCCUUAAGUUUCAAAAUUGGUCACUUCAGUCUCAAGGAUAUUUACUGUUAUAACUUUUUGAUCUAUUGAUCACGUGAUGCUGACUCAUCCGAUCCCAAUCCGCAAAAUUAAUAAUAAUAAUAAAUUAAAUUAGAAAUAUUUGUUUUGUGAAUCUGAAUUAAAAAUAUAACAAAUUUAAGGGUGGUCACUUUAAUGCACCGGUGCGCCUCAUUGCGUAUAGUGCUAAAAAAAAGACUUCAAUAUCAUGCUCAAUUUAUUACCAAUAGUUAGAUCGUGCUUUUUUUAGCUUUUUUAAUGUAUAGGUCUAGAGUAUUGUUGGCAGUUUUGGUAGUUAGAAAAUAUAUGUUUUUUUCUUAUUUUUUAACUCAUUUAGUUUAAAUCUCAUUUUUAUAAUCUUUAUAUAGAAAUACUCUUUAACGAGAUCAAUAUUGAUUUUAUUUCGACGAUUUUAAAAAGUAUUGUUUCAUCGAACAUAUAUACAUUUAAGUUGUUCAUACCUAUAUCAAAGUUGCAAUACAUACGUCUAAGUUGUUAAUAAAUAGAUUCCCCCUUAUAUCUACAUAAUGUUUAAGUUGCUAAUACCUAUGUCUAACUGGAUAAUAACUAUGUCUAAGUUCCUAAUAACUACAUCUACAUUUAAGUUGUUAAAUUCUACUUCUGAAUUGGUGAUAACUACGUCUGAAUUCUCUCAAUAAUUACGUCUAACUGGCUAAUAACUACAUUUUCCCCACUUAUACCUUAAGUUUUCAUCGACCAUACAUACAUCUAAGUUGCUAAUGCGCACCUAACUCAAAGUUAUCAAUACUUAUGUCUAAGUUGCUGAUAACUAUGUUUCCUCUCUUAUAUAUACUUUACGUUUAAGUUGUUAAUACUUAUAUCUAAGUUGCUCAAAACUACAUCUACCUCAAAGUUACUAAUGACUACGUCUAAGUUGCUAAAACCUACCUCUAAGUUGCCGAUGCCUACCAAGUAUAGUUUUGAGGCAGUCAACUCACAUGUUUGACCUCGAAAAAAAGUUUGUCAAAACUCUAUCAUGACUGUUAUAGUUUUAAUCAUCUUUGAAAUUCUAAGAUUUAGGCAUAAAAAUCGAUCAAAUCUGAGUUCGUAUGUAAAAGAUAUUAAUUAAAUAAAAAAGUUAGGGAGAAAAUAUCAUUAAAUGAAAUAAGAACGUGAAAUUACCAAAAUGGCCCUCUGCUGCAAAAUAAGUUCGUUUCCCCACUUAUAUCUACCUUAAGUUUUCAUCAACCAUACAUACAUCUAAGUUGUUGAUAUGUACCUACCUCAAAGUUGUCAAUACUUGUGUCAAAGUUGCUAAGAACUAUGUUUCCCACUUUAUAUCUACCUUACGUUUAAUUUGUUAAUACCUACAUCUGAGUUGCUAAAAACUACGUUUAAUUCUAAGUUUCUAAUAGCUACCCAAAGUUGUUGAUAACUAUCUCUAAUUUGAUGAUUACUACGAAGUAUAGUUUUGAGGCAGUCAACUCACAUGUUUGACCUCAGGAAAAAAGUUCGUCAAAACUCUAUCAUGACUGUGCGACUUUUAAUCGUCGUUGGAAAACUAAGAUUUUGGAGUAAAAAUCAUUUUACCAAAAUGCCUCUCUACUGGAAAAUUCAGAAGCGUUCAGCAUGGGAAAAGUUCAGCACACGAUGCAGAUUCCUUAUGAGGCACAUUGCAGAGUCGUACACUAAGGUGGAUUAUGUACUUCAUUUAUAUCUCGUCCUCAAAUUUGGUUACAAAUAAACUGUAAUCUUUAGCUUUAUAAAUUUUUAUCCUAAUUGCUCACUAAGUUAAGUGCAUUAUAUAUUUUGACCAAUCGAUAUAAAUCGAUCCCUCAAAUCAAAUCCAUUCGUAAUCAAAGAAAAUAACUCCAUAAUUAAAAAUGAACCUAAAAUCAAAUGUGGUCAUCACUACCAAACUCAUUAUUCCCCAUUCUCAGUCUUAAAUUUACAACAUUGUUGUUCUUCCCUAAACUUCAUUGUCCUUGAGGAUCAAAAUCGAGUACUAACUCAAACAAUUAGAAUGAGGAAUCACAAAUGAAAGAUUUGCAACGCUAAUCUACACUUGCAUGAAAGUAAAUCGACAGAGGAAUUAUUCACGCAGUUGGGGAUAACCUUACUCUCCGGAGUCUCACUGGGAGACUCAACCUGAAUACACUAUUACAAGUCACUAAGAAGAUUAAAAGUAGCCCAACAAGAACCCUAAUACAACCAACCACUUAACAAUACAAUCCCAAUCAAGCACAGGAAGGACACAAUCCAGAAGCACUAGGAAGGAACAAUAUUUCGUGAUCAGAGCAGCAGCUGAAGCUCCGGUCUGUGAUCCACCGUCCGUCGGCACAAAACCCUAGCAGAGUUUGAGAGAAUUCCAUAACCAAUUGAGUCCACAUCUUGAGUAAAGGUGGAGAGAGGUGUCGACAUCUUGAGUCCACCAAAAGUAACCUCUUAGUAUUUAUACUAGAGUUCCCAAGCCUAAAACGCACUGUUCCAUUUAGGUGUUUGAUUUGGUUGACCAUCAUGACCGGUCUGUCCCAACCGGUCAAGUCCAACCAAGACUUGGAUUGGUAUAAGGAUCAAAGACUCAACAUGUGCCCUCCUAAUCCUUGUACCAAUUCUAUCUCCUCUAACUUCAGUGAUGUAAUGAUAAUGGAUCAAGCUUCAUCGACUUCUUUCAUCAUUGACCUAGGUCAUGUCUCAGGUACCUUCAUGGACAUGAAGAAAGUUCAUGCAAAACACAAACUUGUUAGUAAGAAUGAUCUUAGUGCCAAAAUCAGAUGGACUCUCAGAUCCAAAGACCUUAACAAUAGAAAGAUGUUGUUUUUUAACUUCAUAUUGGAUGAAAUAAAAGCGCACAUUGAUAUGUUUAGUUCGCCCAUGAUAGUCGGGAUCUUUCCAGAGAUGCAGAGCACUCUGGCUAUCAAUAUGUAGAACAUGAACAUAUGAUUUCCACUCAAUUUUAGACAGGAGGCCCUUAGGCCAAAUGGCUUCCUUGCAAGCCUCUGCAACAGCUAUAUAUUCUACUUCCGUGGAAGACAAUAAUUGAUUGUUACUGUGACUUCCAUGAAACACAAUUACCUACCCAGGAGAAGACAAAGCAAGUGGUAGUGUAAAACUCCACCCUAAGAGUCUCGGUCGAACCACUGGUUCAACCCAAGAGUCCUACUCAUGUUUCAAUUUAAACCAUAACUCAACUCUAAUCUACUAACCAAGCAUUAAAUACAAGCAUUAAAACCUAAACUGAAAUACUUUAUUAAAACUAACCAACUGAGAUCCCAGUUUCCAAAACACAACAAAUUAAGGAGAUGCCACUCUAGUUUGAAAAAUACAUAAAAAAUGAUAUCCAAAGAUAUCAAAACUUCGACCAGCUCUCUCUGCACCAUCAACUUCAAUACAUGUGACUGAACACACAUAUACACCAAGGAAAAACAAUAUCUAACAAGGUUAGUGAUAAGCACUGAGUGGCUAAACUAGUAUUGCAUAGAACUGAAACUGAACUGAGACAGAUUCUGUUGAGCCUUUACUGUGCAUGUACUAAGCCUUCACUAAGACUUUAUUAUGCCAGAACUGAGGAUAGAAUAAGAAGUCUAUCUAUACUGCAUCUAGUAAUAUGACCUUGUGGUCCUAUAGGUAUCAUCCUAACGUCAGCCACCCCUAGCUAUGAUCAACUGACAGCCUCAUGGUGUAUCAGACUAUGAAACCACAAUGAAAUGCCGUGAGAACAGCACUGAAGGCUUACUCGUCACGUCCUACCCGAACCUGUACCUGGGGGAUUGUACAAUCCAUAAGGUGGGCGACCAACGUAAUAAUCGGAAGCUAAUCUAGCUAAUCUUGAAUCCUGUCCUAAACAUGAACUAUGAAUCCAAGUUCAAAUGUCAUGAGCUUAUGCUCGAAAUUAAAGAAUUGUCUGUACAGUAGAUCACACGCUACUGCACAGUCUAAGAGCCCAGCUCUAUUUCAAAAUACUUGUACAGUACAUCACACACUACUGUACAGUCAUAAGAAUCCAAUAAUUGGAUUCCUGACAACCUAAUUACAGUUCUACGCUUAAAGCAGAAAAGUAAUCCUAAACCCCCACCUCUUAUAAAGAGCUGACAUCUCUGGUUCUGACUGGACAUGAUUCAUCUUAUUGCGACGAGUCCGUAGCUUCUGACCGUGCAUCGUUUAGAGCUCAAACGGCCGAGUUAUGCUCCAUUUACUUCUUUGCAACUGUCUGAAACUUAUAGAGGCAGAAUUGCCCUUUCAUCGACCUAUCAAACCACAAAGCUUUUAAUGAAACCUAUUUCUCUGUAAUAUAACAAAAUAAAAAAAAUUAUGGCAUAAACGUCUAGCACAUGUUAGUAUUACUCGUUUGUCAAAGUUAUUUAAAAUGGGAAUCGUUAGAGAAACUAAAAAAUUUAUGUGAAGCUUGCCUUUUCCACCACCUUCGCCAUAGUCCCCGAGACCGAAAGCUCGGCGGCCAUGGCUUAGCCUUCAAGUACUUUGUUAUCGUUUAUCUAUUCUAUAACGCAAAUAUAUGGUUGAAAAAUAACAUGAUUUGCGUUACUACAAAGUUGACUAAUACUAAGCAGAUUAUGCAUAAGAUGUUCAACAAGAAGUACGUUUGAAAAACAUGGUCCAGUAGACUCACCUAAUGUACCACGAUCAAUGAUUGUUUCUUGUCCAUUGUCUCUGAAUGUAACCUUUCCUUUCUUUUUGUAAACAAUAUCCGAGAAUAGAUCAGCAUUCCCAAUCAUGUGGUUGGAACAAUCACUGCCAAGAAACCACUCAUUCUGAGUGUACUUUUUUUCAUGUACAUAUAACAUUGAUAAGUACUUUUUGUACCCAAAUUUUUUUGGAUACUUGUUUUUAUAGAUGAGAAUUGCAAGUACAUUGAUAAGAGUAGUGAUUCUUUCCAUAACAAUAUUCACAAAAUAUUUUUUUUCAUAACAGUUUUUACCAAAAUGUUUGAUCUUAUGACAAAUAUCUAUAAUUGCAUUGAGUCUGAUAAUAAUUCUUAUAUACCUGAAUAUUUGAAUAUUCCUCUAACUCUUUAGUUAACCUUUUAUUAUCGAUUUUAAAAAAUCUUAUCUUGUUAUGAAUAUUAUAAUUAUGUGUAUGAAUGCCCAUUUGUAACUCCUACCUUUGUAACUUCUAUACAUUGAACAUGAAAAUGAAUAUCCUAUUUAAGUGUAGUUAUACUAGUGAUGUAUAGGUUAUGAAUUCUAGAGCCUAUAAAUAGUGCUCUCUCUUGUACCAUUUUCACACCUCAAUAAGAAAGUACUUCUCCUCCCAUGUUCUUGUUCUCUUUUGUUCUUAGUUUUAUAACACGUUAUCAGCACGAAGUUCUGCCGUCGAGCAAUCUCUUGUAAUCAUACAAUGAGAGAUUACUUUUAAUCGUGAGAUAAGCGGUGCACGCGGAACAAUACAAUUCCGCCCGCCAUAUGGCUAGUAAGAUUUACGCUUUUGAUGCCCGUGAUAUGGCCAAUGAGAUUUAUGCUCUUGAUGCCCACGAUAUGGCUAAUGAGAUUUACACUCAUGAUACUCGCGUUUUGAAAAUUUAUUAUUUGCCUAUUUGGUAUAUGCGUGGGUUGCAGUUUACUUUCGGGUGCAUGAAAUUUGCAUAAUACAUGCUGGCGUUAUUGUUCAUUUUUCUAUAAUAUUUCUCAUACUUAUUUUCAACAAUCGGAGUCAUUGUUCUUUAUCAUCAUGCACAUCAAUCACUUACAUUACUACUAGUUUAAUAUAAUUUAAUUUCCUAUUUAUGGGUUGCUUACCAUUUGAAUAGUAUGGCCGAAUAAUUCUUCAUUGAUUUCUACUUUAUUGUCUGCUUUAUGUUUUUAUUUUCUUUAUAUGACCUUAUUAUUAAAUUUAUGACCUUACUAUAUUUUUUUUAAUAUGAGUUAACAUUUUCUUCCUUACAAUCAUAAUUAUUCACUUGUUGUGACUUUUCAAAUUUAUGACUAUAUUAUAUUGAUAUUUAUGUUAUCAAAUAGCCGUUAUACUUAUUAUUAGUUAAUGGUUUAUUACUAAUUUUAUAUGAGUUUAUUAUCAAGUUAAUGAUAUUUUAUUUAUUUCUUAUAAUAUAUUGAAUAUUUUGUAAUUUGAGCCCCUCCAUGUUUCGGGCAAGCUUCACCAUUCAUUGGCAUUGGAAGCUAAAAUUCAUUACAGCCAAGUUCACCUUUUCCUAAUGAGCAGCCCACCUUUGGAAAUAGUGAUGCUCCUUCAAAAUGUAGGGUAUCGUCCUUGUGAUUAUCGUUGAUUUCGUUUUGAACUGGGCGAUUAAAGUGGGUUUCAACUCCUUGCAAAUAUCUAGAACAAAAUAUGAUGCACUCUUCGGCAAUAUAACCCUCAGUGAUGGAUCCUUCAGUUUAGCUUUAUUGCCAACAUAAGACUUAAGCGUCGAUAAGAACCUGCAUAUAGAUUCAAUUCAUUUCAAUAUAUAGGUGAAAUACAAUAUUAAUGUAAUCACAGAAACUGCUUGUAUAUAAAUUACCUCUCGAUUGGGUACAUCCAUCUCCCUUGUACUGGCCCACCUAAUUUGGCUUCAGACACCAAAUGAACAGUUAAGUGAACCAUGAUAUCAAAAAAUGAUGGAGGAAAUACUCUCUCCAAAUGACACAGCGCUAAAGCAAUUUCACCUUCUAACUUAUUCAAACGUUCAACCCGUCCCACCUUUGAACAUAAUUCUUUGAAGAAUGAGCAUAGUUGGAUUAUAGGCUUAACCACUUGUUUAGGCAAUAAUCUUCUAGUUGCUAAAGGAAGAAUUUGCUCUAUUAGAAUAUGAUUGUCAUGACUUUUCAGACCAGAAAUCUUACGCUCUUUCAGGUUGACACACCUGGAUAUGUUGCUAGCAUAUCCAUCUGGAACUUUAAUAUUCUUCAGUACCUUACACAAAAUCUGUUUUUCUUUGGCAGUUAGGGAAAAACAAGCUGGAGGCACAUAUAACUUGCCAGAGUCGUGUCUACGGGGGUGUAACUCAUCUCUUAUUCCCAUUAACUGCAUGUCCAAUCGAGAUUUCAGACCGUCCUUUGUCCUUCCAGUAACAUUUAACAAUGUCCAAAGAAUGUUAUCACAUACAUUUUUCUCAAUAUGCAUCACAUCAAGAUUGUGUCUAAGGAUAUUAUCCUUCCAAUACGGUAGUUCAAAAAAAAUACUUUUUUUCUUCCAACCAUAUGACAGUGUAUCAUUUUUACUCUUCUUUCCAAAUUUGAUUUGCUUUCCAUGUAACUCAUUCAACACCUCUACCCCAGAUAAUGGUUUUGGAGCUGACCUGAAUUCUUGACUAUUAUUAAAAGACUUUUUGUGAUGUCGAAGUACAUGCCCCAUGGACAAAAACCGACGAUGACCAAGAUAGCAAAACUUUCCUCCAUGUGUUAACCAUUGCGAGUGAGUAUGUUUAUUACAAGAAGGGCAUGCAAAACGACCCUUUGUACUCCAACCAGAUAACAUUGCAUACCCAGGAAAAUCACUAAUAGUCCACAUCAAUGAUGCCCUCAUCUGAAAAUUGAGUUUUGAAGAAGCAUCAUAUGUUUUUACCCCAUCAUUCCAGAGAUGUUGUAACUCGUGAAUCAAAGGCUGAAGAUAUAUAUCAAUAUCAUUUCCUGGAGAUGACUUGCCGGGAAUAAUUAGCGACAAAAACAUAUAUGGUUGUUUCAUGUACAACCAAUGAGGUAAAUUAUAUGGUACCAACACAACUGGCCAAGUGAUGUGAGAAGUACUCAUCGUCCUAUAUGGAUUGAAACCAUCAGCAGCUAAGCCCAACCUCACAUUACGUGGAUCAGAAGCAAAAUCAGGAUGUCGAAAGCUAAAUGUCUUCCAUGCAGGUGAAUCUGCGGGAUGCCUUAAAACUCCAUCAUUUAUACGACCGUCUGCAUGCCAACGCAUCAACUUAGAUGUAUCUGAAGACAUGAACAACCUUUGCAAUCUUGGCCCUAUAGGGAAGUAUCGAAGUCUUUUUUUUGCAACUCUAUUAGUCUUUUGUUUGGAAGAUCCUGCUUCAGUGGUGUUUGUAGUUUCCCACCUAUGUGCUCCACAAACAAGGCACUUCGCCUCAUUUAUAUCGUUCUUCCAAAAUAACAUACAAUCAUUUGGACACGCAUCUAUUGUUUCAUAACUCAACCCCAUGUCUGCAAUCAAUUUUUUAACCUGAUAGUAAGACUUGGGUAAAGUUUUCCCCUCAGGAAGCACUUCAUGUAAUAGCUCCAAUAGCAUAGUAAAUGAUUUGUUUGACCAUCUUCCAAGACAUUUCACUUGAAAUAACCUAAUGAUGAAGGAAAGCUUAGAAUGACUGGUGCAACCAGGAUAAAGUUCUGUUUGAUUUGCUUCCAUCAACCUAAAAAACUUUUGAGCCUCUGGAUUAGGAUCUUCCGCAGAUGCAAGUGAUUCAUUACCCGUAACCAUAUCAUUGAGCAUGUCUUCAAUAUCACUACUUGCACCCUCAUGGUGUUGCUCCACUCCAUCAUCCGUAGUUGGUGCUGCAUGAAAUGAACACUCCAUGUGUAGCACCCAACGAGUAUAAUUAUGGACAAAUCCGUAGCAUAUUAAGUGAUCAUCACCUCCGUUCGAGAGUUCCAAUAAUGGUUGGAACAAUUUUUGCAUGAACACAAGAUCUUGUCAUCGCGGCAAUUUGAAGAACCAAAUGCAAACUCAAGAAAAUUGCCCAAACCAUGUAUAUACUCGACGGAACUUCUAGGUUUGGUCAUCCAACUUUUAUCUAUGGUAAAUACCUUUCACGUUUAGUAAAGAACACAAAUGCAAUGUCUCUAUAAAUAAACUACUCAUAAAAAUGAAAUUACCAAAAAAGAUAUAUCCACAACUUGAUUUAGAAGUACAAACGUGUUCAUUAUGUUUACAAAACAUUUAUAUAAUCAUUCAAUUUGGGAUUAAUAUACAAUUCUAGUAAAACUUUUUUUCUCGGCCAGUUGAUGUGAAAAAAUGAUUAUACCAAGUAUCACAACAAAAUAUCAAAAAAGCAAAGUAAAAGCAGUGUGUAGAUAUGGUUACUUCUAAUUAAAGCAAUUUAUUUCUCUAUGAUAGUCUUUUUUUCUCUGUUUGAUUAACUAUUUUUUUUCUUGCUGCUCUUACUCGAAUUACGUCUCCCGUGUGUUGUUAAUAAUUGUGUGUUGUUGGUAAUUGUAUGUUUGGGUUGCAUUUAAAAAAUGAGGUCAACUUGUUAAUCAUUAAAGAAACAGAGCACAAACCACACCAAAAAUCAUAAAGAAACAGAGUACAAACCUAUUAAUCAGCCAUUGUCGAAUCGUCCAAUCCCAAACAUAUGGCACAAAUCGCUCGAGAAUACACCCCACACGUGUAGGCAGCUCUAACAAUCAAAUCUUGUCUUCGAUAGAAAAAACUUUAUAAGAUAAAAUCAGAUUACUAGCAAAUAACAAUUUGUUAUGAAUAUUAUAAUUAUGUGUAUGAAUGCCCAUUUGUAACUCCUACCUUUGUAACUUCUAUACAUUGAACAUAAAAAUGAAUAUCCUAUUUAAGUGUAGUUAUACUAGUGAUGUAUAGGUUAUGAAUUCUAGAGCCUAUAAAUAGUGCUCUCUCUUGUACCAUUUUCACACCUCAAUAAGAAAGUACUUCUCCUCCCAUGUUCUUGUUCUCUUUUGUUCUUAGUUUUAUAACAUAUCUCAUUUAAAAAAUAAAUUUUAUUGAACUUUUAGAUUUUAGUGAUGCUUUAACCAUCUUGUUUUUAAGAAUCUCAUCAUCAAAUUUAUAGUAUGCAUUAGUAGAUUUAAGAAUUUUGUUUUGUUUCCUAAGUGAUAUAUUUUCACCUUUUAACUUAGCAACGUAUCCUUCUAAGGUUAGAUAAGCUCUAAUUAAUUCAGAACUCCAAACAUCAUCAAGUUUCUCGGUUGAGCAUAUACUAAUUCUGAAUUAUCCUUAGCUCUAGCCAUAAAUGCAAAUUAUUUUGCUGUUAAAUCAAUAGAAGAUGCAUGUUAAUUCUCCUUCUUCAACUCUGUAUUCGGCAGACUUGAUUUCGAGGUUUCUCUGAAUCUAUUCCAACCUGCAACUCAGAGUUAAUUGAUGGUUAGAUUAGCAACAAUCCGUAACAAAUAUGAAUAGAAAAGAAACAAUAAAGGAUCGUGGAGAAGCCACUGCCCUUGAAGCAAUUUUCCGAUCACCACAACAGUCAGAGUGUCGAGAAAAGCUCCCCAAGGUAAUCACUAGAUAGACUGAGACCUAGAUAUCAAAGGAAAGUUGAUUGAGUGUGAAGCAAGUUCUGUGUAGCAAUCUCCAGAACUCCAAUCCUGCAUUUAUGUGUAGUUCUGUUGCUUCUUCGCGUAGGAUAGGUGAUCAACUCCACUUCUUGUAUUCAUGGAAUUCAGAAGAGUUGGUUGAGAGAAAUCAGGAGGGAGAUCAGGUCAUGUUCAUCAUAUCUCCCUCUAUCCCCAACGGUCAAAUCCAGUUCCGUUAAGUUUCUUAUUUCAUUAGUGUAACGGUGUCGUUUUUUAGCACUGGUUUGAUUCAUUGGUUAUUUGGUCAACUCUCCUGGUUUGAACCUUCAUAUUCCUAACAUUAAUGACACACAGAUAUGCAUAGUGAUAUAGAAAUGCAGAAUACAUCGAUCUAACGUGAUUCAGGAACGAUCCCUAGUCCACGCCCAAGGUAAACCUUGGGAAGUCAAUCUUAUUCUAUUCCUUAACUAAAGUCCCUGAAUGAAAUCCACAUUCAAAAACAAUUACAAACUUGCAACUCCACAAGUAACCCUGCUGCCAAUCCCCAACAGCAGAGCGAAUCAAAAGCUCUGUAAUCUCCAGUCUUUUCUUUUCCAAUUUGAUGAGUAUUAUACUAUUUAUAGAACUAAAAAUGACCGUUGCUUAACUUCUAGUACCAUUGAUUGAUUUCCAGACUAGCUCUGUUUGCAGAUUCCCUUGAGAUCUCCACAUAAAAGUUGUACUUAGGAUUGAUCUGAUUUCAGACAGCUGUGACUGUACCUGCAGACUAAAACUUUCUUUUUCUGAAACAAAAUAAUUUUGGGAUUGAAUUCUUAUUAUCAAGAUGGUGUACAACUUCAAGUUCUUCCUCAUGCUCACACCUCUCCUUUUGCUUCUCCUCACUCAACUCCUCUCCCAGACUACUACUCCUCAUAACAACAAUUGUGGUCGCGGUCGUCGUUGGAGUACUUGGUUCCUCCCUUCCUUAUCGAUCCAUCUGCGGGAGAAGGACUCGAUCCACUGUGCCGGUGGGUCCCUGUGGGUGGUUUCUCGUCUUGCUCGUUUUCCUCUUGUACAUGGUCUCUUAUCAGUCUUCUCUUCGUGAACGUUGGUUCCCUUUGGUUACCAAAUGAAAUAAUAAGUUUCUGUUUAAGAUACUUGAUUUUCGAAUCAACCUGUCGUGGUGAAAUCAAGGAAGCCUCUUUUUCCUAGUCGUGUCACGGACCGUGCUUUCUUCGGGUUCAUAGUUUCGAUAAAUAUCUAGUUUCUAUUUUUCGAGGUUCAUGUGUAUCUUUCUUUUUACCAGUGGUACGUUAUAAGUAAUUCGUUUUUUGCAAUUAUUAUAAGGCUUCCAUGAUAUUCAUCUUCUAGGACUAAUCCUCUUAUUGUGAUAAAAAAAAAAGCAACUAACUCCUUAGAUAAAAUAUUAUCGUCAUAAAUAGUCGGACUUGGACCAAUCUCAAUCAAUCGAUUUAAUUAAGUACAAAAAACAAGCCUUUGCGACAAAAGAUUUGGUCUCAAAAGGCUAUUAAUUUUGUCAGAAAUACAUUUUGUGAAUAUUCUGUUCAUUAUAGGGGGUUGCGAUGGGAAAUCUAAUUAGUCACAAACUGUACACAGUUUCAAUUUGUAACAACUAAACAGUCGCAAAGGAUAAUAUUUAUGACUAUAUAACGAGUUAGAAAUACAAUCCGUUUUUCUGUGACAAAAUUUUGAUAACACAAUGCUUUUCAAGUGUUUANNNNNNNNNNNNNNNNNNNNNNNNNNNNNNNNNNNNNNNNNNNNNNNNNNNNNNNNNNNNNNNNNNNNNNNNNNNNNNNNNNNNNNNNNNNNNNNNNNNNNNNNNNNNNNNNNNNNNNNNNNNNNNNNNNNNNNNNNNNNNNNNNNNNNNNNNNNNNNNNNNNUUAAAACAGAAUUUUGAAUACAAAUAGGAAUUCUAAAUAUAUUAAAUUCGAAAUAGAGGAGGACAGUAGUCGUACAAUGGAUUCCAGAAACUCUAUUUCAAUACCACCAAGCCGCCCGAUGUCGACAUCUUUUUAGCUUCUGAAAACUAUUAUCCCCAACCCAUAUUCCACAUGUAUCCUUAUNNNNNNNNNNNNNNNNNNNNNNNNNNNAUUAAUUAUUAUAUAUAACUAUUGAUAACAAAAUUAUUAUAUAUAACUGAAUUAUUAACUCACAUGACAUGUAAUUAUUUUAUUUGAGAAAGGAGACAUUCAACAAUCAAAAUCAGUAAUUAUCAAACUGAUAUUUUUUUAUAAUAUUCCUUAGAAUUUAUAAAAAUUAAAGAUAUGGCCAUGCAUUCGUACGUACAUAGGCCCCCUUACUAUAGUAAUGGUGAUUGAAGUGUUAAUAAUAAAAGUAUAAAAGUGAUACAUUCUAUAUUAGUUUCUAAGAAUUUAUAUAAGUUAAAAGAUAUGGUAAGGUAAUUAAUGAUUUGUUUGGUUGUUCUACAGAAAGAUAUAUAACAAGUAUUACAGAAGUAGAUAAACAAAAAAAGCAUUACAAAUGAUUUGUUUGGCUGGUUAUGUUGGAAAAGGUGUACUUCGCGAGGCGGUCUCGAUACGAGCUCAACCGCUUGUUGGUUGGAGGGUGAUAAUCGACAUCUCCGCUUUACCUUCCUUCGCAUUCACGACCCUAUUUUGCUGCUUUCCAGACUCUCCGUGUUGGCUGGUAAUGUUGGGGAAGGUGGACUUCACGAGGUAGCUGCUCGUGGAUUGUCGAGGUCGUAUGGAGAAGGAGAAUAAUGAGGUGGAGGCUAGGGUGAUGCAAGUAUAGAAAGUUGUGAGGCAUCUUGAUCUCCACUGCACGGAGAACCAUGUCAUAGGAGUCCCAUGAAGGAUUAGUGGUUUCUAAGCAUUGAUUGUUCUAGAAUGUUGCCUCUCCUCAUCCGUGGCAGGAGUCAUGCUCGUCGUAAUUAAGCUCCUCUCCAUUUAGCUAGCUUUUUGUGAGGUGGGUGAAUAGGCUAGGUGGGCUAACUAGAUGAUGAUGGGGUUUAGAUGAGCCUGCCAAAAAAAGGUGUGCGGCUCAAUUUAUACUGCACUGGCAACUAUGACACGGAGAACCAUGUCAUAGGAGUCCCAUGAAGGAUUAGUGGUUUCUGAGCAUUGUUUGUUCUAGGAUCUUGCCUCUCCUCAUCCAUGGUAGGAGUCAUGCUCGUCGUAUUUAAGCUCCUAUCCACUUAGCUAGCUUUCUGUGAGGUGGGUGAAUGGGCUAGGUGGGCUAACUAGAUGAUGAUGGGGUUUGGAUGAGCCCACUAAAAAAAGGUGUGGGGCUCAAUUUAUACUGCACUGGCAACCAUGUCGUAUAGGAGCCCCGUACGGAUUACUGGUUCUCGGGCGUUGUUUAACUGUGCCUUCAACGAGGACCUCAGUAUCCAACCCAUCUUCAAGACGGUUACUUUGCUCUUCUCGCUUGAGGCAAUUUUUGAAGAGUUAGUUUUUUCAGACCUUUGCCACAUCCCUAUGGCACAAUGAAUUAGAAUGUUGCCUUCCUUAUUCAUGGCAGGAGUCCUGUUCAUGACAAUCAAGCUGCUCUCCACCUCGCUUUCUGCAAGGUGGGCGAGUGGGCCAGAUGAGAGCAAGGCCAUCCCAGUCCUGAGCAUAUUACUUUAUUAGUAGUGAGGCUCGUUGGGAUUCUCCAAAAAUAAAGAAAAAAAUAAUUUUGUCGUCAGAACUUGAACCAAAUGGACUACAACGGAUUUGGUGGAAUCCCGCAUUUCAGUCAAAAUGUGAGGGAAGGGCAAGUCAAUGGAAAAUAUUAAUCGGCUAGCCGAGUCGUUUGAUUACUGCUUCGAAUAGGAGAGAAGCAAAUACGAAAAAGAAGAAACCGAAAAUCUACGAGACCCUCGAGCCUUUUGCCCCUAUUAGGAUUUCGGUACGCCUCGAUGGCCAUGGUAGACCUCCAUCCCCGGCUAGACCCGUUAGAGACCCCCCCUUUCCUAACUUCAAAUCGGAGAUUUAUGCCAGAUGACGAUGAGAAGGAAUUGUUCGGUGGCUAUGAGUUUGAUAUUUUUCGGCCUCCACCGUUUAGGGUUUCUACUGGGUCGUCCCAUGCUUCAGUGAAAGUUGGUGUUAUAGUUUUUUGGAGGGAUGCUCGCUUUUCUCGUGCCAUGAGUACCCAUGAUGUCCCGAUAGAUCAGGAGGUCGAGACUACUGGGGUCGGGGGAACCUUUUACGCACUUGACAGUUUGAUUCGGGGUAGUGGAUGGUGGCCCGAUUGCAAUCAGUGUGAUUCCCAGUUUCGGGGGUCACAUUGCAAAUUAUCUAUGAGAGGUCGGUCUGGACUACCGUAACAUCCGCGAUUUCAAAUUGGACAAGGCACUCAUCUACGCUUUUGUUGAGAGGCAGUCAGAUACUAACACGUUCCACAUGCCCUUCGGAGAGAUGACCAUCACACUUCAUGAUAUUUGACAUAUUCUCUGUAUCCGGGUACAUGGAUGUCCGCUUCACAUUCCACGUUCCAGCGAGGACUUGAAGGCCGAUAUAGUUAGGGCUCUCCGUAUCCAUCCCGGGGAUUUGAAGUUGCCAGUUGGAGGCGCUGCAGGUGGGGAUGCCCAAUACCCUUGGCUGAAGGGUGCUGCGAUGGAUGAAAACUCGAUGUUAGUCGUGGGGAACGGUUUAGGGGAUGCGGAUGCAUAGAGGGUCUUCGUUUUUUGUCUGCUUGAUUCGACGUUGUUCACAGAUAAGUCAGCCGAUCACACUCGUCUCGUGUUGUGAUUUGCUUGGGGGAAUUAAUCAAUUCAAAUUUGAUAUAUUAGUCAGAGAAUUAAUCAAUGUUUAGAAUUUUUUUGCAGGAAAGGAAGAAACUAACGCUGAAGUGAAAUUUUCAUUGAUUUCUCGGAUUGUAUAAUUUAUCUUUUUUUGCUUACCAUUGAAAUAAGUUAAUGUAUAUAAGUUCGAUGGCCACAUUGUCAAAACUCUAAUGGGUUGAUGACCACAAUGGAUAUAUGAUUGAUUGCUGAUAACUGUUUGUCCUGUGAGCUGAAUUCUCACUUUUGAACUUGGCUGUCUCUGGUCAGUCUUAAGUAGAACUCUGAUGAGCUUGUUUCGCUUCCAGUUUCAGGACAAUCCCCUAUUUCCCAGUUCUAUUGAGUUGAAUAUGAGGAAAAGUUUACGCCUUUAGGAUUCCAAGACGAUUUUGCUCAACACCAUCGAUACUGAAUCAAUCCUCUUUCCUCAACCUUCCCUUUUCAAUUUGAAUAUACCAUGGUUCUUCUGCUUCAUCUUCCUCAUCAUACUUUUACACAAAUCAUCUUCAGACACCCAAAGUUCUCACCUUUCUCCAUCUCUUCUUCUUUCCCACUUUUCCUUCAUCGUCGUCUCCAAAACCCCUAAUCUCACAAAGCCGUCCUAAUUGGACUACUGGUUUCCUAACCAACCGUCCAGUUUGGACGGCUGGUUUCUUAACCGGUCGUCCGGUUUGGACGGCUGGGUCAAUUUUUCCAUUUUUGUUCAUACUGACCUUCACCGUAUGACGGAAACGAUGGAUCCGCAAAAUUCUAUCCGCAGCAGUGGUCCGGCGAAACUCCGGCGAAUGUCCGGCGACACGAGGAUGAAAGUAAAAAAAGAUGGUGUACGAAUGGACUUCAUUGGUCCUCUGAAUAUUUAAAGCCGACGUUAGGGGCAUUUAUGAAAUUUCAUAUUUCAAAUUUUAAAGUUAAGACGAUUUUUUUCAAAAAUUAGGACGAUAUUUAGCAAUUCAGUAAAUUUAUUGAGUCACAUAAAGAGUGUAAAGGUGUGCUCCUACCAAACAUAUAUAGUUCCGUUUAAUUGCUGAGUUUAUUUUAUUCCACCUCCUGAGUUCAUUCGUUAGAUUUGUCUUAUUUUUCAUAUACUAGCAAAGAUUGAUUCGUAAUUUACAUCAUAAUAAAUAUUUGACCAAUAAUUUCCUGACAUUAGAGAAGAUGUCAAUAAGUCACUACUUCCGCUGGAAACAACAAUUGUCAAUGUUAAAGUAUGGGAGAUGUUUCAUUCCAUACUAACCUACCAAAAUCCACCCAUCAUCCGCUGUUAUCCGCCUACAUCCACCUAUCAUCAAUAAAUAAGUGGAUGACGAUCAUCUAAACAAUCACCCAUCAAUUAAUGAAUGAGUUAAAUUUGUCGUCAAACCCAACCUUACAUAAUCCACGAAGCAAUGUUACUAACUUCAUAAUCAGACUCCCAAAAAGUUUUACUCAAAUUUCGGAUCCUUCGAAGCUAUUUGAAAUAUCAUAUAACCCCUGACCACUUUGAAAUAGUUCCAGUUAGUUAGUAUUUUACUAUUUCAACCCAUCAAAACCCUUGAAACUACUACAAGUCAAAGAAGACAAAGCUGCAAUAAAGAAUCCCUUCACUUUCUUGCUUCAAGCAGAUAACAGAUAACUGCAGCAGCUCUAAAUAACGACAAGCAAAGCUCCAAUAGGAAAAUCGGUCGAAACCAGCAGUCUCCUAAAAUGCUAUUCAUUCAGGCCUAUCAAUUAUUAUUGAUGUCUCAGCUUCAAAAAUUUUGCAAAACCAAAAAUCUGCUGAGUGUCAGCAACUUCUUUUUAAUAACGCAGAUCAAAGUACUGAAGCUUUACAUCUCAAACAAACACGGAGAACUAUAUUCUCAAGGGUAAUAGCCGGUGAAGGUGAAUCCCCUCCCAAUGAUUUCACCUGCACAAUACCAUGCGAAGCACUCAAGUCCAAACAAUGCAGCAACUCCUGCAUCCUCAACCUUUAGCUCCUGCCUGUUCUUCCAUAAGUUCUUCACGUAGUCUAGCUCCUUCCAGAAUGCUUCAUUUCUACCCGGGAUACUGUUCACCAACAAAAUUAACACUUGUCAAAAACAAAGCUGAUUUCAUCCAGUUCGCCUCACUAAGUACGGCCACAUAUUCACACAAGAUGAUUUCACUGCUACUUCUGCACCACCCUAGCUACCCAGUACAGAAUAGGUUUUCCUUUCACAAACUGAAUUUAUCACAUAAUACGUAUGUUAUGACCAGUAACAGACACAUAAAGGAUUCGUAUAUUGUAUGCUAAGCAUCCUUCCAUUGUGUAACACAUAGAAUAAAUGUUUUUACUUUUUUACUAGAGUUUCACAGCUAGAAACUUGAACACCGUUAUUGUACUCAUAAGAUCCUGAUAUUACUACUGAUUCAAGUAGGAUAUUUGAUAACGAGUAAGACUCAAAUAAAAAUGCAAAACCAAGCAAAUCACUGAACACAAAGUAUCGUCAUCAAAACAUCAGUUCAAAUGAUUUGGAGUGAUAUCAUUUGAAGGUCCAAAGAAAUACAAUCGUCAAUUGAAUCAUCAAUAAUCAAGAACAAAAUAAUGUGUUUUCAUCUCUUUUGAAGGCACAAGAUUGACUGAUAGAUGUAAAUUAUACUUCAAUGUCAAGAACAAAACAAUCCAUUCAGACUUAGACGAUGUCGAUAAAGUCGAAGAUGACAUUUAACUAAACCCCUCGAAUCUGUAAAAUAGGGGUCAUAAAACAAAAUUCUCAACAAGAUGUCUAGAUUAAUCAGGAACACAUCAUUCAAACAGACUUGUAUCAAACACAUAACAGAGUUAUUGGCAAGAAAAUUAAAUAAAAGGCUGACAAACAUCAAGCCAACACAGCAAGGGCGGAAGAAAAACAACACCUGGCUAGCCGAGUGUAAAACAAUUGCUUAGACAAUUCAUUGCACUUCUCAACACUAGCGGGCUCCUGAAUGUAUUUCUUGUUCUGUUCCAGUAACUGUUUGUAGUAGGUAGUGCCAUGCUUAGACACAAACUUAGACGCUUGGCAAGCUUUAGAUUGCAAUUGCAUUAAUUUGGACGCCAUCAGUUCCAAAACCCUGAAAUAAUUAAGGAAAGAGAUUCAAAAUGGCAGGUCCUACAAACCCUAGAAACAGGAAUAUAAAAUCUCAUCUGCCUCAAUAUCCAUAAAAUCUCGCAGCCAUAAACCAUUCCAAAGAAGCUAUAAAAGCAAGAUCCCCAGCGCCACAUGAUCGUAAGUUAAAACCACAAGGAAUCAAGCGAAAACAUCAAAGAAAGAAGGAACGCAAGGAUUGAACAAGAUCUGGAGAUACGAACAGCCUAACUACGAGACUGAAUCAAUCUUGUGCGAAUCGAAGGAAGUGCAAAUGAAAAUCGAAAUUGAGAUUGGGAGUAGAACGAAUUGGUCGCCUGAGGAACGAGUUACGGCGUCGCCGCUAACAGUUGUUCUUCGAGGAGUUAGGAUGGGAGAGCUAGAAAGUAGAAAGAGAACCAGGAACUAUAAUUGAAGGCAGUGCGGAAUGGGGUUUCUUUAUUUUUUUUUGGAUGAAGGGGUUUCUUUAUUUAAGUUGUGGCCUUGUGGGCUGUUUUGGGAAUUUGAGAAUUUUAGGGGGGCUUUCCUUUAUUUUCUCAAACAUUUCGUUUGCAAUAAGGCAUUGGGGAUUAUUAUUCGACCAACUAGUAUUUAAAAAUAUUUGCUCUAACUAUUAUAAUUAUAAAUUGGUUAAAGGCAUUCUCAUCCAAAAUUAGGUUAAAGUGUGGGGAGAAUGAGAUAUUUCAUUUAGCAAUUACUAAAGAUGUAUAUAUGUAAUUGUCAAUUUAGAAAUUUUGUUAGAAAUAUUUAAAUUAAAAUUUUGAUUAAUUUCGAAAAAAAGAAAUUUGAUUAACAAUAUAAAUAUAUGGAUCAAUUUUCUAAGUAAAAUAUUUAAUUUUUUAAAAUUUUAUAUAGNNNNNGAGGUGGUUUGGUAUGGAUGAUAUCUGAUAUGAUAUCACUCAAUAUCGUGGUAUUCAAAAUAUCUCUGUAUUUCGAAACAUACUACUGUAUUCAAUACUUACCGAAAAGGUAUCACCUCUAAUAUUACUCCAUCUGAUCCAAAUUGCCCCGGGUUUUGCUUCUGAUUACAUGCCACCAAGGUGACACGGAGCCAUUUUUGUUUUCGCCAUCAUUAUUGCCCCAGUCAUUUCUUUGUCUGUCUUCUCCUCUUUCCCCGGGCCGACAUUAUAACCCUGCUGAUUAUUCUCCACCGCCGUGACUUUUACCAUCAGACGGCUAUUCCUCUCGCCGUUGACGCCAACUACUACUCCUAAUCUCUUAUUACAUCACAAUAUCACAACCCACUUACCUAUCCACAGUUCGCUCCGGCAAUGUCAUCAUCACUGACGACAAAACCACGGCGGAGAGUCCAAUUCUAAACCGGAAAAGAACAACUUAUCAAUCCAAGCCUCUGGCUUAGUCAUCCCUGGAGCCCGAAUUUGCUUUCAAAAACCCCAACUUGAAACAUUAUAAAAUUGUUACCCCCAAUUCCUACCAACUUCCCAAUGCGAUUACAUGAGAGCAAUGGACACUAAACGGCGAGCCGGUCGGACCGGAUUUUCAUCCCAGGCAGAGCAGCUUUCAAUGAUGAAAACGAUGAAGUUCGACAGUGAAAAUCUCGGUAAAGAGGAAGAGAAGAAUAAAGUGGGGUUAUAUUGGUAAUUUUAUAUUACACUAUACCAAAUAAAAACAUUUUAUAUAUCAAAUAUCAAUAUUAUCCAGUAUUGUAAUAUCUCAAAUAUUAUUACAUACUAAAUUAUCUAAAGGGAGAUGGCUUAAUGGAAAAGACUUUGAUACCAUGACAUAUGUCAUUUUGUUAUUGGUUGUUGAAAUUUUAAAUUGCACAAAAAGCUAUGUAAACGCACUAAUUUUGCCUGCAUUACGAGAUGCCCACCAAAGAAAGGAAUUUAACCAUACUCCUAAGCCACGUUCACUCUUCGUCAUAUUUAAUUAGAUUUUUCAUAUCAUCUUUAAUUUGUUUUUUUUAUGAAUAUUUUACAUUUAUGUAUUUAAAUGUAUUUAUCAUGAAUUUCAUUACUCUCAUUAUAUUGUAAUAAUAUUAAGUUGUAAUCUUGAUAAUCAACCAACGAAAACAACCCCCGAGCUUCCCAACCCCACAAACACGUCCCUAACUAUGUUGCUGCCCUCAACAUACCACCAAAUAUCUCCACUCCCUCUCCAUUAUUGAUUACAACCGCAUGUGCCCCACCAACCUCACGAUCAACCGCCGCAACAUCACCCACACUACCACCAAGGGGCGGAUCCUUUUCCCUCAGAAUGACCUCAAAUUGCAUGAGUUGCUUUUCAGAUACUUCACUGAAGCGGUGGGAGACGUGUCCCCGUCAACUAUGCUGGUAAGGAUUUCGCAUAUGACCCACAAAAUAAUGCGUUAUCCUCGGCAGACCAUUAUAUUCUCAUUCAGGUGGCACUUGAUGUCAGGAAACCACUCCAUCGUUGUAAGAGGGUGUUGCUCCAUGGUGACGACAGGGUGAAGUGACAAUUCAGGUAUGAACGUCUGGAGAAAUUCUGCAACAUCUGAGGUGUUAUGGGUCAUACAUACAAGUACUGGGAAGUGCUCUUUCAGAUCCUGGCGACCUUAAACUUUUUGCAUCUGGGACGACUCAAUUAGGGUUCAACCUCGGAAUGCGCAAUUCAAAUUGGCAUCAAAGUACCUCAGCGAGAAGGCUAGGUCCGAUGGCCCCACUCCACAAUCCUCCCUAAUUUAUGAGCAACUAAAGUGGCCUCUAGAGAGCAAGGUAGGGCCUAUAUUACACAAUCUUGCACGGAUCCUACUCGAGUCAAUACAACCCCUCCAGCGCCGAUGAAGAUGAAGAUAUGUUGGAUGUGACGGACAAUGAAAAGCACCACCAAGAGGAGACACCAGACAAAGAGAAGUUCGCAGAGGAGCCCACAGGAAUGAAACCAUAAAAAUUGCCCAAGAAGGAGAGCCACAUCCUUACCCAAGUGGUCUAGGCAGGUCAACUAGAGGGGACCCACCCAUCAGCAAAGGAAAGCAACGGAAGUUGCAUGGCGGCAGUCGGCUCGACCAACAUUCCACCCCGACCGUUCGAUAGCAGUGCCACCGCCAAUGUUCUGUGUUUUGUCUCUUUGUCACUGCCAUUUUUUUGGGUUCUAUUUGGUGACGAUGUGAGUCUCUGAUCCAUCAAUAACCUUCGUUUGGAUCGAGUAUGGGAGGUUGGGUCAUCAGUAUUCCUUUUCUUUUCUUUUUUUAACCUAGUAGCAUUAUGUAGGUAUUUAUUUUCUCGAGUCUUUGAGGGGAUUGGUUUGAGGAGACCUAAGAUGUGGAGCGUAUGAUCUUGUCUCAUUGCAUCCCCUUGUAAUUCCGAUUUGGGUUACACCUCUCAGGUUAUUGCUCAUACAGUAUGUCGCGAAGGUCUCCCACUUAGACUGCAUUCCGCCCACACUCGGUCCUUCCGCCAUGGGGAAGGGGAUCAGCUUGUGCGGGUGGCACAAAGGUUACGUUUGGUGAAGUCACCAUCGGUCGGUGAAAAUUGGGGUGGAUCGAACACCGUCCAAAGCCGCCAGCCGCAAAAUACAAAAAGUUUGGAUAUGGGUAUGUUGCUCAAGACAGCGGGUUAACGAAAUCAUUUCGCCCGGCAUAAGGCCAACAAUAACAAAAAUUGAUAAACUCUCUUUCAUUGUUUUAGGUUGGCGCGCUUUGAAAUAUGGGUGAUAUUUACCGUUGACCUAACGGAUAAUAUUGAAUUUUUUUUGGUGGAUUCGAAUGGGUGAUAUUGAUAGUAGACUUAACAAAAAAUAUCAAAGUGCCUUUAGGUGGACUCGAAUCAUUUAUGAUUGCCUACAUACCAAUAAAUCGGGAUAAAAGUCCGUGUAGUUUGAAUUUGCAAAUUUGUUUUGUUUUGCAACUCGGUUAUACUCCGGUGCUCGGGUUUGACAUCUUUUAAAAAAUUGGGAGAUAUUGACCGUAGAGUUAACUAAAAAUAUUGAAUUUUGCCUUUAGGUGGACUCAAAUUAAUUCUGAUUGCCUACAUAUCCGGACCUCAGGAUCAAAGUUCGUGUAGUUUGAAAUUGUAAAAUCAAGAUUUUUUUCAACCCAUUUAUACUCUGGGGUUCAAGUUUAAAUUCUUUUGAAAUCAGAUGAUAUUGAACGUUAUAAAAAUANNNNNNNNNNNNNNUCUUUAUAAAAAUAAUGGAAGAUAUCAAAUUUUCUUUUUUGGUAGACUCGAAUCAUUUCUAAUAACAUAUGUACUCAUACCUCAGGAUCAAAAGCCGCAUAAUUUAACUUUGGGGAAUUUGAUUUUUUACUCAGAUUUUCGGUGUUAAUCUAUGCAACCACAAAAGACUAAAACUUAAUACUUCUUUGACUUUCACUAUGGUGAUUGUUCAUAAUAGUAAUUAUGAAGAAUUUACUAUUAUAAUAUAAUCAAUCACUUUUCGGAACUUCUCAACUGUCAUUCUAAUAUUUGGGUGUUUUUAGGGAUUUCAAAAGAAAAUAAAUUAUAUUAGAAUAAUUAAUCAUAAUAAUUAAUUCUCGAACGUUAAGUAUUCUGAAAUAAUCGCACGAUGUAUUUUAUGGAUCUUUUAAUUUUUAUUUGAUUUUUUGAAGUUUUUUUAAUGAAUAAUUACUUUUAUUUCAUCAAAAACCCAUAAUAACAAGACAUAACUCUUUCAACAAAUAAAAAAAAAUGGAAAGCUCGUCGCUUCUAAAAAACUCCAAGCCACAAGGCCAAAAGUAGAAAAGGAACAGAAUUAGGCAAUCUACAUAUUAAUACAAUCAAAUAACUUUUUCUCAUCAAUCCUGACAUUCACUUUGAAGAACACCUUCUCUAAAAUAGACUGAGUUUAGCAGUUAUAGAGUGAGGACCAUCAAACACAUUUUUACACCUUUCCUUCCAAAUUGAGGAAACCACGAGACACCCGAUAAAGCGCUUAACAUUAUACAAUUUUGAUAUACUAUUCCACAAAUAGCACGCAUUAGUAACAUUUUCAUCCCAGUCAAUUUUACUGGAAAAUUCUGGGAGAAGCAAUUUGAGAAUCCCAUGAGAAAAACUACAACAGAAAAACAUGUAUCCUUGCAUCAACUCCAUUACUGCAGAAAAUACGGGAGAUAUCAACCGUAAUCAUGCAAUUGGAAAGUUUUUCACGAAUUGCAAGUUGAUACUUGAAAAUAACUAACAGAUAACACUGAAUUGAAAAUUUGUCACUCAUUCUAGAUGAGGUUUGCCUAAGGCACAUGUUCUGCUAUGGUCUCAUGACAUCCCAGACGAUAGAUAUUAAAUCAGAGCAUGAAUGUAGCAUUCCAUAAGACAUUAUCAUUAUUAACAGUAACAUGUAGACUAGCAAGAUCACGCAUGUUUUUAGAAUUUUACCUCAAAUUCAGGAGUUUGUUGACACCUUAAGAGUCCACAAAUUCUUGUUAUUGAUUUUAUAGUUAUACAUCAAAGCAACCCAAAGGAAUCCUCCAUCAACAAACAACGCCCAAAAAUGUCUGAAAGUAUUCAUUGCAUUCCAUGAAUAGAGAUCUUUGAGUUCAACUCCUCUUUUUUUUUGAAAAAAGUCAAAAACCUUUAAGCCACUUUGCAGUCACCACCGUUGAGCUUGCCCCACAAAAAAUGAUUACCAAAGAUAUAAGUCGCAGCUUUCCAGUAUAAGUCAAACCUUUGGCCUUUCAAUUUUUGAAGUUAAGUUUUGAAAGAAAAUAAGAAAAAACUCAUUCACAGUGACAGGAUUCCAAAUUGAAGUACUUUCGUUAUAAAAAUGGAAACAUAAGCGUCAAGUCAAAGGAACAAAUCCCGCUCGUUCAUCGUGAGCAGUGGGCCAUGAAAAUCGCAACAGUUUUUGACUUCUAUUUCGUUACACCCACGAAGUUCUAACGAAACAGUGGGAAAUUACCUCGGAGGACAAUAACCCUUUUGAACUCAGUUUACAAGCGGGGGCAAACUGAUAAUUACCUUCUCAUCUAUGGAUUCCGUCCGACUUGUCAGUUCACGACACUGUACGAACGGUGUAAUUACCAUUAAGGACUUAAUUUAAGUCAUCUAAUGGUUGGUUUUAAUAAGGUCGGGAUAACUUUGUCUUUCGACCCCAUGGCCGAACUAAAACUAACCCUAGUCGACCUAAACUUCAUCCUCUUCAUUUUUUCGACUUUUCUACAGCCACUGCUGCUAUCUUAGGACCUCUCUUCUCUCGGUCUUCUUCUUCCAUCAUCAUGUCUGGUGAAGACAACGACCACGAGCUGUCGCCGUCCAGCAAGCGGCAGUCUCCCAACCUCUAUCCUCUCCUUUCUGUCUGUCCACUUCUAGGAGGACAAACCGACGCCACCGCUCCGGCCGAUCUACUCCUCUCGGGGAUCUUUUGCAGCAAAACGAAGGUAAACUCUCUCCCUCUCUCUCAAGAUCUUUUCUUAACCUAGUUUGGAUCUAACUCUUGUCUCCUACCCUUCGAAUGAAAGUCACGACGUAUGUGAAGAAAUCGGCCCUAUGGGGCUAAUCUGUCAGGCUAUUUUCUCUGAUGAAGUCUCUCGGUUCUAGUCUUACGGGCGAGUUGAAAAAGGUAGGUAUGUUCCAAUCGCUUUUUGCUCGAUUUCUGAUUUCAUCCAGCUCUUAACCCUAGCUACGCUUUUGGAUAGAGCAUUCGGGAAAGGGGUGGAUAAGACUACGAAGUCUGGGGACUCGAAUAGGUAGGAGAGGCGUCUGGAUUCAGCCAAGUUAGGGAAUCAAUAAGCAGGUAUACUCGAGCGGCCUCUUGGGUAUAAUUUCAAUGAGGUUGAGAGUGGUUAAACGUGAGGUUGAGUGUAGUUUAACGUGAGGUUUAGAGUGGUUUGUUGAGAGUCAUGGUUGCCAGGUUUGAAAGGUUAUUUGUAAGAGGUUUGAGAGUUGAUUGAGAGUGAUCUUGUGGUGAGGUAUAAGGUCUGUAACUUGUCCUUUCUUUUGCUUCCUUCCUUAGUUUUCACAUCUAUCUAUUUAUAGGCUUGCGAAUGGUAGAUUUAAGAAGAGUAGUAGAAGUGAAAUGAUAGAGAUUUGGGAGGUAAGAAACAUUCCCUCCAAAAGUCUAGAAUUAUCCAAAAUUGGUCCAGAACCUGAAUCGGUUAGCCAAUGGGCCGAGCAUCAGUUUUAACUCAAACUUGCAACUUUGGGCCCAAUCUCACAAAACACCUUUUUAACCAAAAAUCGUUCCCGUAAUCAAUAUUCGUUCAAUCGAUGGGCCAAAAUUCGUUGAUUUAGUUCGCAUUCGAUUUUUCAACAUAGCAUAACCCUCAUAUUCUUUAUCUAUUUAAAUCUUAAAUUAUUUGAAUUUUCUUUCUAUAAAUCCACCCGCACAAACAAACUCUAAAUUAAUUAAAAUAUUGGAAGAAGAAUAUUUAAUAGCUAAGUCCUAAGAGCAUAAGAAGAUUGAUUAGGAACUGGUCAAAAAUAGUUGGUCCAUAGCUAAUUCCUAGAGCAUAAGGAAGAAUGAUUUAAGUAAGUCUUAAGAGGAGAAAGAAUAUUGAUUAGGAAUUGAUCCGAAUUAGUUGGUCAAUAUUUAAGUCAUAAGAACAGAAUGAAGAAUGAAUAUUAACUAUGAUCAAAUUCUCAUAAUCUAAAACAUAAAUUGUUGGUUAGGCUCGAAAAAUAGAUAGAGAAACAAGAUCAAAACAAAAAGAGUAAAGGAGAAUCAGAUGAUGAUUAUCUAAUUUCGAAGAUCAAGGUUGUAUGUAGGCAAUGAUUUAGACAUUUUGAGGCAUAUUCCCGCGGUUGAAGCAGAAUAUCUAGGAUUAUAGAUUUAUUUCAAUGAUUCUAUAUAGGAAUCUGAAGACAUGAUAAAAAAAAAGAAGCUGGAGAGGAGGAUUUUUCAACAAAGGAAUCGUCAAAUCGACGAUUGAAGUUAUAUACCAUAUACAUAAAUAACGACAUAUUGAUAUCGUGUCAAAUAGGAAUAAAUAUCCUCAAAUCCCUCAUCACCUGCAAUUUAUCGCAUUCAGAUAACGGGUCUUCCGAACCCAUUAAUCACCGUUUUAAAAUAAGGACCCAAAUUCACAAUAAUUUUUGCCAAGCCAGCCUUAUUUUACAUGUCUUUGUAGACAUCUAAAAAAAUGGAUACAUUUUAACAGCUAACGAUUAGUUUAACGGCCCGUCAAAACAUAGCACCGUAUAAAACCCACUCUACCAGUUGGGAUAUUUACGUCUCCUCUGCUCUUUCUCCCGCCUCCGUUUCUUUUAAUUGCCCCAAAACCCUAAACCCUAAUCUCCAUUCCAUGGGCCGCCGGAAGCAGAAUACAAACAGUAGCAGCUCAACCAGCUUCCCAACUCCCCAGAAUCAGAGCACAAACCUCCAGUUCCAGGACGCCGACGAGGAUCCGGCCAUGGACAGCUCAAUUCCCGAUGGCUCCAUUACUACUGUUCCCACCGACUUGCCCAUUGCUAUGGACGAUGACUCUAUGUCUGAAGCCAAUGCAACUCUUACUGGCCCCGCUGACGAAGACGAGCAGACCAGCGCCGAUUACUACUUCGAUUCGUACUCUCACUUCGGUAUACUUCUAUUUCUUUUUCUUUCUUUUGCAUUGAGCUCUGGCCGUUAGGUAUUCAGAAACUGACAGCUUUCUCCUUCUGUUGCAGGUAUUCACGAAGUAAGCAUUUUUCUUGGAAAUCAUGUGAUUCUGUUAUUUUUUUCACGAAUCUGUUUGUGAUUUUAUCUUUUCUUCUAUGUUUGGGUUGAUUGAUUUUGGGGAUUGUGAUAAUCUGAACUCAAACGAUUGGGUUCUUGCUUGCCUAAAUAUCAAUUUGGUAGUGGUAGUCGAUAAUCCAACAACCAAGUUUGCACUUUGCAGGAGAUGCUGAAGGAUGUGGUGAGGACUAAGACGUACCAAACUGUUAUUUAUCAAAAUAAGUUCCUCUUCAAGGACAAAGUAGUACUUGAUGUUGGUGCCGGGACUGGAAUUUUGUCUUUGUUCUGUGCAAAAGCUGGUGCGGCACAUGUUUAUGCGGUAUGCUUUUCUUGUUCACUUGCAUUUGUACCUGUUAGUUGAUGAUUCUGUGUUUCUGUACAAUAUUACUCUACAAGGUAAGUAAAGCUAAAUGCUACUGCUGAUUUUUGGACUUGUAGGUUGAGUGCUCGCAGAUGGCUAACAUGGCGAAAGAAAUUGUUGCAUCAAACGGUCUUUCUGAUGGUCAGUCAUUUUUCUUUUACCGCUUCUGCUUUUGUUUUCUCUAUCUUGUUAGUGAUGCAGGUUUUUGGUUCCAACUCUCAAAUGUUGCAGCUUUUUAUAAUGAAUUAAUGUUGCAGUUAUAACGGUUUUAAAGGGGAAGAUUGAAGAGAUAGAGCUACCAGUGAAUAAAGUGGAUGUAAUAAUUUCAGAGUGGAUGGGGUACUUUCUCUUGUUUGAGAACAUGCUGGAUACAGUUUUGUACGCUCGUGAUAAAUGGCUUGUAAGUCGCUAUCUACCAUUUCUUUGUUAAUCGAAUAAUGCGACAAAUUUAUUAAAUUUGCCUGCCACUGUGUGUCAUCGAUGUGAAAAUUUCUCUUAAACUGGCAAGUUUAAGUUGGAUACUCAUUUGUUGUACUGAACAUGAAGGGAUACUGGAUGGGUUUAUACCGCAAGGAAGCAUUUCUUGAUUCGCUUGGUUUAAAUAUUCAAAAGAAACUAGUAGUGGACAUUGCUUGCAGUAGUGUUUUAUAUUCCUUUUGCAAAUGACCAUGAUAUGGCUCCUUGUAUCAUCCCAUUAUUCGCUCUUUCCAGGUCAAUGAUGGAAUUGUGCUGCCUGAUAAAGCCUCUCUUUACUUGACAGCCAUUGAGGAUGCAGAGUACAAACAUGACAAGAUUGAAUGUUAGUUCUGAAACUUGUUUUUUCCUUUUAAGUUGAUAUUGCUACCUAGUUGCCCCUUACUCAGCUCUUGUUUAAAUUGCUCGCUGAGUUCUUUUCUCGUGGUGGGAAUGUAUUUGUUCAAUAACUAGUACUUUUUUCUGUCUGUGACCUCAAUGCUGGUGCAGUCUGGAAUAGUGUGUAUGGUUUUGACAUGAGCUGUAUCAAGAGGCAAGUAAUUAUGGAACCUCUAGUUGACACUUGCGACCAAAAUCAAAUUGUUACAAACUCACAACUGCUAAAGGUACUGUUGGGAUAAAACUUAGUUUACCUUUUGCAUAUAUAUUGUGUUUCUCCGUUCAUAUUUAGUUUAUUUCGUUUGUUUCAGACUAUGGAUAUCUCCAACAUGACUUCUGGUGAUUGCUCGUUUACGGCUCCUUUCAAGCUGGUGGCAGAGCAUAACGAUUUCAUCCAUGCAUUGGUAGCCUACUUUGAUGUAGCGUUUACGAAAUGCCACAAAAUGAUGGGGUUCUCCACAGGUGCCUUUUUCUUCUUUUUGGUUAGAAUCUGUUCUUGAAUACCUUGUGUUGAGGAUCAGAGCAUUUACCUGGAAUAUAUGCAGGCCCUAGGUCGAGGGCAACACAUUGGAAACAGACAGUCUUAUAUUUGGAAGAAGUGCUGACAAUAUGUGAGGGAGAGGUGCUAAGUGGAAGCAUGACGGUUUCACCAAAUAAGAAGAAUCCUCGGGACGUUGAUAUAUUGGUCAAAUAUGCGUUGAAUGGGAAGCGUUGUUCUGUUUCAAGGAGUCAGCACUUCAAGAUGAGAUGACCUCAGUAGCUGGUGUUGAUUUCAACAUAAUGGUGUGCUACAUCUACAUCUAUCUAUUAAUAUAUGCACGAGUGUGGUUUGCUUAUUUUGUUCUUCUUUUUGUUCACUCUUCUUUUAAUUCCAACUUCCAAGUCCCUUCCUUUGGGAAAGGGUGAAAUGUUAAAGCUAAGCGGCAUUGUAUUAUCAUGCGCAAAUUUUGGGAAUUUGAUUUCGAAUGAAAUUAUUUAUGAAUCCUUUUAUUUCAUUCGACUCAAAUUAUCUAUGAUUUUGUAUUUUGUAAGGGUUGGUUUGAAUAAGUGUAUUUGUAUUUGAAAUUUUAAAUACUAAAUUUUGGUGUUUGGAUGGGGCUUUAAUUGUCCAUUUGAUUUUUGAAAUCAAAUAUAAGGUUCCAUUUGACUUUCGCUGCCGUCGGCCGUAGGCCACUGUCAUCCCUUCGUAACCUCCGUAGCUGGCCACCAUCGCCAUCAACUUCCACCACCAUCCUCCAAUCACUAUUGUCACUGAUCUAGAGUCACUUUGUCGCCGCCCAUUAGUCGGUAGUCGCCACCAUUGGUCUUCAGUCGGGAGUCUCCUUCGCUGCUGGGCAUUGCUCGGGAGUCACCUUCGCCGCUGGGCGUCGCUCGGGGUAGGCCACCUUUGCCGCCGGCCAACUCUAUCGGUGAUGUGAUGAUAGCUUUCGGUUUUGCAAUUUUAUAUAAUUGUGUAUUGUUUGAUGGAGUGUGUAUUGUAUUUCAAAUACAUACAAAAUAACUUCUUUCAAACACAUAAUUUCAAUUUCAAAUAAUUUCAUUCAUGCAUUUCAAAUACAUGAAUUUAAAAUCCCAAAUCCAAAUACACCUCUAGGCAAAUGAUUAACUUUGAAAAAUUGGCAUAUUCUUCAGCAAGAACCUUGAUCUGAUGCUUACGCCAGUUUUUUCUUUUAUCCUUAAUAUCUUACGGUCACUCGAUACUGAAAGAUAUUUAGACUUGCCUUUUCUCA
rnacentral:lncRNA from 1 species